rnacentral:lncRNA from 1 species
CAGAGUUCUUAAAAUCUAAUAUCUUUGUCCGUUUUGGAAUGCCAAGAGCUGUAGUUAGUGAUAGAGGGACACAUUUCUGCAACAAGACUAUCACUGCCUUGUUUCGAAGAUACGGUGUACUCCAUAAGGUAUCCACACCGUAUCACCCGCAGGCAAACGGUCAGGCCGAAGUGCCAAACAGGAAAAUCAAGUCGGUCUUGGAGAAGAUGAUGCGUCCGGAUAGAAAGGAUUGGAGUUUAAAGCUAGAAGACGCACUAUGGGCGUAUAGAACCGUGUAUAAGACGCCAAUUGAGAUGUCUCCGUAUAGACUUGUCUUCGGUAAGGCUUGCCAUCUUCCCGUAGAAUUCGAACACAAGGUGUUUUGGGCAGUGAAGCAGUGUAACAUGGGAUUAGAUGAAGCAGGGGUCCAAAGGAAAUUGCAACUACAAGAGUUAGAGGAGAUAAGAAAUGAAGCGUAUGAGAAUGCCACGAUCCAUAAGGAAAAGAGUAAAACCUUUCAUGAUCAACGAGUUUCCACAAAAUCUUUUGUAGUGGGGACAAAAGUCCUCUUGUAUCACUCGAGACUUAAACUUUUUCCCGAUAAGUUGCGUUCUCGUUGGAUUGGUCCAUUUGUCGUUUCUAAUGUGUUUCAUUAUGGUGCAGUGGAGAUCCAAAGUUUAAAAACGGAGAAAAAGUUCGUGGUGAAUGGCCAUCGUCUUAAACCUUAUUACGAGGGGUUCUCUGUUGAAGAAGUAGAAGUUGAACACCUCCAACAUCCACUUUAUAAUGCUUGAGCGUUUUGGCCAUGUCUAGCCAAAAACAGUAAAGAAAGACGCUACUUGGGAAGCAACCCAAGACUAUUUGUUUCAGUUUUCAUGCAUUUUUGAAGUUUUAGUUAAGUGUUAGUGUCAAUUAAUAGUUUGAUGUUUGGUGGCAGGAAAUUAGUAGUUAAGCGUGCUCACGCCUGAGGGGAAGGAAUUUUCGUUCAGGUUCUGCGGACUCCAUAGCAGUUAGACGUGCCCACGCCAAGUGGUCACGCCUGAUGGAAGGAAUUUUCGUUCAGGUUCUGCGGACUUCAUGGCAGUUGAGCGUGCCCACGCUAGGUGCUCACGCUAAAAAAAAAAAAAAAAAAGGGCCAAAAGAUGAAAUUGCCCUUAUUGAAAAAGAAGAAAAAAAAAUCGUAGCCCUACUUCUUCUUUUCUUCCUUUUUCUUUCUUUCUUCUUCUUCUUCUUUCUUGUCUUUUUGUCCGCCGUCGCACCUCCCUUUCUCCACACGCCGCACGAUCACCGCACCGCACCUAGCCGCGCGCGACCCAGCUGCGCCGCACGACAGCACCACCAGCAGCAUCUCAGCGCGGACCACCAGCCGCAGUUCCAGGGCCUCAGCUCCACCGUGUGCGGUUCCGACGCCUCCUUCACCAGCCAAGCCCGCCUUGCUCCAGCAGCAGCCACGACCAGCAGCAACGCCGCCGCACUCGCCGCCACCUAGCCCGCGCAGCAGGAGCCCACUGUGCGCGCAGCUUCACCAGCCACCAGCUGCCUUCGCACGGCCAGCUCGCGCGUGCAACUACCCACCGCACGCACGGAUCAAGCCAGCUGUGCACGGUGCGCAGUCAACCGCCAAGCGCCUCGCCCAGCUCUUUUCUCUGCCCAUCGCGACUCCAGAUCGAGCAAGGCAAGGUCAGUCUGCACGCACCUGCUCGCCUACCCAGGCGUGCGCCAGACCAGCGCAGCUCUUCCCCCCUUUGCGCGCAUUCCCCUGCUCUCCAUUUCACUCACGGCCACUCACCCGCUUCGCGCGCAACCGAAGGCGCAGCAGCCAGCUAGCUCACGCGAGCCAGCCACGCGCAACAAGGGUCAACCGCGAGCCGCCUUCUUCCUCCUCUAGCGCCACCUGCAUUCUUUUUCUCUUCCACCCAUAGCAACUACCGGUUAUCCCCCAUGGUGAUUUCUUUCUUAAUUUUCUGUCACUAAGUAGCUAAGGCCAGAUUACUAGCUUUUAUUAGCUGAUGACAGAUUUUAUUUUCGUAGCUGAGGCCAGAUUCUUUUUAGUUGCUAAUUGAGGACAGAUAUUUUGUGCUUGAUUUGGGUCCUGUGCCGUAUCUGUAGUUGAUUGUUGCUUAUUAGGUAUAUUUUGUGUUCAACCGGGGUUAUCAGGGGGAGGUUUUCACUUCGGUUGCCUGAUUAUUUCGUUUUUGAGGGGGUUUUGCUCUGUUUAUUUGAUUAAUUACUUUUUGGGUCAAAUUGGUAGUAUUUGGGAGAAUUUUGCUGUUCAUAGGCUUAAUUUAUUUUUGGGUCAAUUCAUUGCCUGCUUUUGCACGUGAUUGCGAGUGGGGAGUUGUGACUGAGAAUCAUUUACUUUGGGGCCACUUGUGACUUCUUUGGAACACCAUUUCCUUGCCUCCACCCUGCCCUCUGCAUUCAAAUGACUAAACCAAAAAAUAAGGGCAAGAGCAAACCUUCCACUUCCACCCCUCAACCUACGGUCCCCUUAGGGGGACCUGCCCCUCGACUGGGCCAGGAGGGCCCCGUACUCGCCUUGGACGGAAUAGAGAGGUGCAUAUCUCCUCUCCGGCCCAUUUCGGCAGCGAUUUAACCUUUACCAGGGCUGCCGACAAGGAGCGGUAUGCCUCGGCUUGCACAAGGAAGAUAAUUCCUUGUAAAUAUAUCCAUGGCCCUACACUUGAUAUGCUAAACCUGAGGGAUGAGGUCACGCAGCACUUGACUAAUGUAGGCUGGACCCGCUAUGCUUCUAUCAAUCUACCUGCUUUUAUUGAACUCACAUGGGAAUUCUAUGCUACUUUUGAAUUUAAUAUUCCUGAUGAAUUCUCCGUUACCACUCUUGGGGUAGUGAGAUUUCGAUUGAUGGGUAGAGAGUUCAACCAGUCUAUCACUGAGUUUAAUUUGGCUCUUGGGUUUAUUGAUAUUCCUUACUCCCAGAGUGAGGAGUAUAUGCACAGUGUGUGUGAGUACUCGGAGCCAUUUUUCUCUCAUUACAUUGAUUAUUGGAGAGAUUUGUCGGUUGACCGCCACAUCUAUGACCCCAGUCAGUCUAAGGCGUCUUAUCUUAAGAGUGCCGCCUACCGUUAUUUACAUAGAUUCAUGGCCUAUAGUUUCUCAGGUAGGAAGGAUAGCUCGGGUACUCUGACCAAACCCGAGUUCUUUUUCGUUUGGUGCAUGGUCACUCGGAUUAGGGUCAAUUUGGGUAGCUGGUUUGCCCUCCACCUCCGGACUGUGCUAAGUAAGAAAAAUAAGCCAUUAAUCUUAGGCUCAUUUAUCACUCAGUUGGCUGUUAAUCUUGGGGUUUUGGAAUUAAAUAAUCAUAACUUGCAUCGUGCUUGUGCUAUGGAACCCCUUGAUUUGGUUUGUUUGGAGAAAAUGGGUCUUGUGCUACAGGUGAAUGGCGUUUUUUAGUUUGCUCCACCGGGGCCAAUCUCCGUUCCUCCAAAGCGCAGCGCUUCCAAAUCCACUGCCCCGGAGGCUGGUGGUCCUUCCACGGAUGCCCCCGGACCAUCCGCUUCGGCAUCUCCACCAUCUUCCUCCGUCGAUAGCCAGCUUGCAGCCCUCCAGUUCCAGAUGCAGCACAUGGACACUCGUAUGGAUCGGAUGGAGCGUCAAAUGGGCGAGAUGACCCAGAAUAUAGCGCAAUAUCUUCAUCACGUGGGCUUUCGACCGCCUUUCCCUCCACAGCCAUGAUGUAUUUCUGCCCUCCUCCGUUUUAAGGGAAGUUUCAUUGCCCCGCUACCUCUGUUUUGCUCUUUCUUUGUUUACAUUGGGAGCAAUGUAAGGUUUAGAUGUGGGGGAGGGUUCACUACGCUUUGAGUCGUGUUUUUAGUUGUUGGGUGUGCAUUUUUCUGAUUUUAGUAGUUAAACGGUGAUGAAUGCGAUUGAGAUAUGAGUAUAAAUAGUAAGUUCAUGCCAUGGGGUGCUCUGCUUCCCUUAAUAUGGAAUUGAUUGAUGAAUAUGCUGAAUUUAACAUCAUUUUGACCACUUGUGCGAUUUUUGGGCCUAAUCUUUCGUUUGCUUGAGUGGUUAUUGCACAUGGUUUGUCAUUCUAGAACUUGCUCGGUUAUGCAUGUCGAGACUGCAUUUAAAUGAGUUUAAUGCAUUAAAAUAAUAGGGCACCUAGGAAUGAGCCAUUUUUGAACUUUGCUUUUGGUUGUCCUACCUUGUGUGAAUUGAAUUGGGGAGCAGAAACAAUCUCGUGUUUUUCCUCCUGUGAUGGACCGAAGCGGGAGAAUCGAAUUGCAAACCUUUCCCAAUUCUCCACGCGCGGCCUACUUUCCACUAAUGGGGAACUAAACCCCUAAUUCUAGUCAAGGGGACAACUGACGAUUUGGUUCGGCAAUUACUGUGAGAUCUAAACCGUUUUUAAUUAUUUUCUUCAUUAAUUGAUAUUCAUAUGUUCCCUGAUUUUAAUUGCUAUAGCCUCGUGCAUGAUUGGUUAGUGCGCAAUAAUUAAUUAUUCAUAUAGGCUAUUUUGCUAAAUAGGGAUAAUUGAAUCCGUAAUUGUUCGUUAUCCCUGUCUUAGUAGCAACUGGUAUAAUUGGGUUUAUGUCAGGGGAAUAUACGAUCUAGUUUAAACAAACCCUCGUAGCGUGUUUGUUAAUUAGGAUUGGGUCUUUCUAAUUAUUAAUGCAAUCUAAAAAUUAAACUCUACGGUCGUACCUAGGGUUGUUUUUGGGUUAGAGAAAUAGCUAACGGUCGUACCUUAGCUAUCGAUAAAUUAAGGAAGGGUUGGUCGUUUAGCGCGUGCGAGACAAUUAUAACCAAUCUAUUAAUAAAUGUGGAAUUACCUUUGAAUCAAUGAUCAGUUGCAUGAACCAUUUCUGAAGUGUACCCUUGGCUAGAUGUUUCUCUUAAUUAUUUCUUUUAAUUGAUUAUUUUCUGCAUUUAAUUUGUUUAGUUGGCAUUUAAUCCCAAAACCCCCAUUCAUCUUGAUUUGAAAAGAAGCAAAAUAUCUUGCUAGUCCCUGAGGAGACGACCCUGCUUACCACUGUCUACUAGUUAGUGAUUUCAGUUAAAUAAUUAAUUCAGGUAUAUCGGAUCAAGCAAACUCUUCGGGAACAGGGUGAAUCAAGUAACCCAUUGCACACCUAGAGUUCCUGCUCCAGUACUCGAAUUGAUUAAUGACUGGUUUAGGUGGUAUUUAGAUUUUAUUAUUUAUUAUUAUUGCACAGGUUCGGCACCUGUCAUGAAUAUAAGAAAUGGCGCAGUUCGUAGUUCAGCAUUAUAGGGAAGGUAGUCAGCAGAAGAAAACUUGAGCCUCACUAGAAAUAGGAGAAAGACAGAGAACAUGCAAUAGCUUAAAAUAAAGAAAGAAAAUAACAUAAAGAAAUUUAUAACGACGUCGAACCCAAAAAUAAAUAAGAAAGAAAGAGAAACUAAUGUACUUAAAACAAUUUUUCCAUCAGAACAACUCAAAAGGUGUUAGCAGUUUUGCACCUCAAGAGAGUUUAAAAAAAAAAACCUACAAAGCUCAACAUGGAAAGUAUUAAUAUCGAUUCCUACACAAUAGCAAAUUCUAUGCUAGUGGAGAAGCAGAUCAUUUUGGGGGAAAAAAACCUCAAAGGGUGGCGACAGUUGGUAACAUUUAACGAAGGGGAGAAAACACGUACAUGAGAACCAGUCAGGAUUUUGAUCAAACAGGUGAUCUUCAAAUAUCUCAUCACUCUGUGGUAAAAUAUGGGUCAAGGGCAUUUUUGGCACUAGAAUUGUCCCACUCCAACGAUUCCCACCAUGCUUUAUUUCCCUUGAUUUUACGAAGAAUGCUGGGAAGAGAUGGUUGUCCGUCGAUGGUGGAAAGAAACAAAGGCAACCUCUUUACCUUUGGACAAUCUAACAUUUCAAUCUCCUCAAUUGAAUCGCAGAUCAUGGUUGCCUUGCAAACGUUCUUCAGUUGUGGCAGGUUAUCCAGACGCAACCACCUCAAUUUCGGAAGGAUGACAGUGGCAGUGGCUCCUUCACUUGAAGUCAAUUGGGUGCCUUCUCCUCCUCCUUGUCCUACUCCAUUGCCAUCUGCUGCUAUCUCCUCCAGUCCUUCACAAUCUUUAACUGCUAAUUUUCCAAGAUUUUGAAGGAUCUGCAGCAACUGCACCGUGAAUAGCUGCUUCAUGUUAUGAUAUCCAGAAAUGCUCAAUUUUUUGAGGGAAGAAAAGGUGCCAGCUGAAAGCAAAUAUGGUGGUCCGUCGAUGGUGGAAAGAAACGAAGGCAGCCUCUUUAAAUUUGGACAAUCUAACAUUGCAAUCUCCUCAAUUGAUUCGCAGAUCAUGGUUGCCUUGCAAAUGUUCUUCAGUUGUGGCAGGUUAUCCAGACACAACCGCCUUAAUUUCGGAAGGAUGACAGUGGCGGUGGCUCCUUCACUUGAAGUCAAUUGGGUGCCUUCUCCUCCUCCUCGUCCUACUCCAUUGCCAUCUGCUUCUAUCUCCUCCAGUCCUUCACAAUCUUCAACUCUUAAUGUUUCAAGAUUUUGAAGGUUCUGCAGCAACUGUACUGUGAAUAGCUGCUUCAUGUUGUCACAGUCAAAAACCCACAACUCUUUAAGGGAAGAAAAUGUGCCAGCUGGAAACAAAUAUGAUGGUUCUGAUUCUCCGUAAAAUAGACCAACCAGAUUUGGCAAACUCCAGAGGCGUAACUCUUCGAGACCACGGAGUGGACUAAAAGACGAGUCUUCCGGCUGAUCACGUGGAAAAGCAGAAGACAAUUGCCAGAGGAACUCUAUUCCAACCGAAUCCAUAAUAUCCAAUCUAGAUAAGUGGCUUAAAUUUAUAAAAUUCUUAAAAACAUCUGACAAGCACCUAAUGCCCAUGCCCUCACAAUCCUCGAUUAUCAGAGAUUUCAUAUCAUCUGGCAGAUAGUUCGAUCCUCUACCAAGCUUACACUGAUGGAAAUGCAGAUCUUGCACCAGGAACCGAUUAAUUCCACCAUCAACAAAACUCGGUUCCUCAGUUAAGAUGUCAUUGAUAUAAACAGUAUAAUAGUAUUUUGGUCACCGAGUGAUUUUAUAGAAGUCCAUAAAAGACAAACAUCCUCCAAAACUUUCUAAUUGGUUCAACACUUCUGGAUCAUUAACUUGUACCCUACCAUUGGAUGGCAAUAAUAACAGUUGAAGACGGUGAAAUUGGGAAAAUGUCCCUUUUGGUAUUAUCUUUUGGCUUAAAGCCCCAUACUCGUCCAAGUUAAGCCUUUCGAGGUUGACCAGUGACUUCCAACCUUCAGGUAAAUCCUCAAUCUUAGUGUAGGAUAGGUCCAAAUCCCUCAAUUGCUUGAGCUUUCCUAGUGGUGGCACAGAUCGGAGGUCCCGACAACCCCUCAAAAUCAGGGCAGUGAGAUUCACCAAGUCUGAAACAGAAUCAGGUAGCUCUAUUAUACCUCCGCACCGAGAUAGAUUCAAAACUUUAAGUCCACACAUGUGCCGAAAGAAUGAAUCUGGGAUUUCUUCUAUGGAAACAUCAGAAAGAAGCAAGGUUGAGAGCUUAAGACAAUUUGGUGACCAGGCUGGCGGAACUUUUAUUUCUGGGUGUGGAGCUGAAAAUGAAUGAAAGGAGACUGCAUGGAGAUCUUCUGUCCACUCUCCUUGUUCCAGUGUUACUUUAGAAUUUCCCUUUCCUAUGCUUUUCACCAAGAACUGUGGUACAUCCCCGUUCAUCUGUAGGUUGGAUUUUCCUUUCGUGAUUCUUAAUGCCAUAUCUCUGACCAAAUCAUGCAUCUUCACACAGUCACCCCUUCCGAAAUCUUUAGUUUCUUCUAGCAAGCAAACUUUUAUCAGUUUGUUUAAUAUUGUGUGACCUUCAUCAAAUUCUUUUGGUCUUGAGUCCCGUUUUGGCAUCAGCUCUGCCCAAAUAAAGAGGUCUAUUAGUUUCUCUCUGCUUAUAUCACUAUCUUCCGGAUAAAGACAGCAAUACAAGAAGCAAUUCUUUUCACAUUUAUUCAGGCGAUUGAAACUCCAUUCCAGGAUGCGAAACACAUCUCGUUCCAUCUCAUGAUACCCUAUUGAACAUGUUUUCAAUUGUUCCAAUGCAUUUCUCCACUCACAAAUGUCGGUCACACCUCUCAUGCUUCCAGCCACUGUGAUAAUGCCAAGAGGCAAACCAUCACACUCUUCCACAAUGGACUUGGCAAUACUUUCCAAAUCUCCUUGAAGCAAGGGCUCGCUACCAAGUUUAUACUUGAACAAAUCCCAAGCUUCGCCUGUGUCCAGAGUUUGCAAAUCAAACUUUCUUUGACAUUGUAUCCUGUUGCACACUUGCAGUGAGCGAGUAGUCAAAAUCAAUCUGCACUUGUUUGGAUGAAGUGGAAUCCCUACCCUGUCUAAACAAAAUUCUUCCCAAACAUCAUCCAAUAUGAGUACUAUUAAUUUCAGCAUUUUCCUGAAUAUGUCACGCAAUAUUCUUGCCCUGGUGUCUUCCUCGUCCCUACUGGAUAGAUUAAUGCCCAAGACAUUGGCAAUCUUAUCCUGCAAGCUGGUGACACUGAAGUCUUGAGAUACUGUAACCCAAAGCACCCGAUAAUUGUUCUUUUCUAAAAGAUGGUACUCAAUGUGCCUCGCCAGUGUGGUCUUACCAACUCCACCCAUACCAUAAAUCCCAAUGCUUGAUAUAUCAUCGGCCACCAAGCAUGGCCAAAUUCUCUUCAAAGCUUCAUCGAACUUUACUCCAAACAAUUUGGUUGGCAGGCAUGGCUCCCCGAUGUUGUCACAAGUAUCGAGCACAAGCCCAUCGAAAUGACGGCUCUGAUCAACAAGGUCUUUCACCUGAAAUUGCAGCUUUCCUACAGGAUCCUCCUUUAGUAGAAGACUCCAAGAUGAUCCUCUUGUUUCCAAUGCAUCAAUUUCAGGACUUAACUUUUUAACGUCCUUCAACCAAUUGUCAACUUCACUUUUCCUUUUCUUUUUGCCUGACAUUUCUUCCCUAUUGACUUCUUGUUCUACGUCAAAUGCUUUGCAACUCAAUUCUUGCCAAUUCCUUUUUAGCGAUUGCACGUUGUCCAUGUGACUCCUUCCCGUGCAAUUUUCUAAUGCGAACUCUACCGUCUUUUCUAUCACCUUUUCCCCCGUCUUUUCUGCCAGAGCUUUUCCCCAAAAUGGUAGCAUCUAGAAUUUAAAUAUACAUCAAGCUUAGGUGCAUAAAGCAAAUUGAAGCAAAUCCGAAAAUUAAAAUUGAAGAGAAACAUCAAAAGUUGCCAGCGGAACUUAGUCAACACAUAGUUUAGUAAAGAUUAAUAACCAGAAAAAGAAAAUGUUUUUCACUCAAUUCAAUAAUUGUUCAGCUAUUAGCUAAUCUAGAAUUCUGCUGACUGAAUAGUUCAUUCAAUAUUUGAAGAAAUGACAAAAACUUUCGAAGAUUGAUUUUGAAAAAAUUAGAAGAAAAACAAUUUUUUGAAGCACUGAAUUGAUCAUAGAAUAUCUAAACCCACAAAUUUUGGUGUUUCAUUAAUUUCACCGAACACUUCUAUACAUUACCCUACGAAUUCUCAUUUGUCUGUGCUGCUAUUGAGUUAGUAGAAAGUCUCUCCUCAUGUCAUAUUUAAUUCCGAAAAAAAGAAGAAGAAGAAGAAAAUGUCUCAAAACACCCUACCUAGAUAAAAAUAUGUCAACAAUUUUUCCUUUUCUUUUCUUUUGCUUUUUUGAAAAAAAAAUUGAAAGGAAGGAUGCUACAGUACUACACUAGGCUACUCUCCUCAUCUCAUACGUACAUAAACUCAUAACGUGCUCUAAAACAUUUAAUUUGGUAGAACGAAGACCGUAUAAACAUGAAGUUGUCCAAUUAUGCUGAUUCAAUUAAGCAUUUUAGUAAAUGAAACUGAUAUGCAUCUUGUUUUGAUAACAAAAAAAUUGAUAUCCAUUUGAUGUAAGAAAACUUUUAUAAAAAUUUAAGAUUUUCCAUAAAAGCUUCUAAGUUAUAAGACUAAGACCAAGAUCCGUAUAUGUUUCCAUACUCGAUAGGGCUGACCCAUUUGAAUAUCAAUUUAUUCCUAUGGAUCCAUCCUCUGUCUGGGUCUAGUUUUGUUGUGAUUAGUUAGGUCCAGGUUGGGAUCAUCUCAUUCUGCCCACUGCUGGAAAUUCUUGCUAAGAAAUGUGUGAAUUAUGUAGAAAACUUGAACAGAGCACUCCAUGUAUUGAAAGAAGAACAAGUGACCAAGAUGUUUGGGCCUCACAAAGCUAAACAUAAUAUUAUAAAAUGAGAAAUAACUACAAAUAUUUACAAAUUCAAGAUCAAGUGUGAUAUCAUUGCACCUUGAAAUUAGGACAAGUUAUCUUGAAGACUUGAAGAAGCUGAGAACUCUUAAACUCUGCCAAACGACAAAAAGUUAGUAUUAUAUUUUGAUCUCGGUUUUGCUACUACAAGAACUAUGAUAGUUGAGUUUUGAUGAAUAAAUUAUAAUUGAAUCAAGAUGUUGGUGCCAAGCAAAAGGUGAAAUAAGAGAAGAACUCCAACAGUUACUAAGUUCCGAUGGAUAUGAUCUCAUUAUACCUGAAACUGACUAGAAAACUUGAGGAAGCUGAAAACCUUGAGACUGCCAAGAUUAUGUGUUAUGAUUGUUGAGUGUUGAGGAACGGAUGGUAAAAGUUGAACUAACAGCAGAGCAGACCAGGAAUGAUAACGGGCCCUCGUGAAGGAAGUUCCGGGAGUGUCCAGACUCCAGAGAAAGGCUAGUGGAAUUGUACUUGAUUAAAUACCUCGAUUAUCAUCCAAUUUGUAUUUGGCAACCUUGCAAAGCACGAGAUGCAACUCUGGCUACGAGUUAGGAAUCCAACCCAUUACAGAUAUACCCAAAGAAUUGCACAUAUUUUUAUAUCCAAAAAGUAUAUUGCAUCUACUUUUAAAUCCACAAAAAAAAAAAAAAAAACUAUUCAAUACUGCUUAUACCAUAAAAUUGACACCAAAACUUGGAUUUUGACUUAGAUUCAACAAGAUCUAAUAGUAAGCAUCCAAAAAGAAAAUGUUGAAUUAAUACAUUCACAAACAGAUAUGGGAGACUAGGUUAAUUUACACACAUAAGAAUAUUCCUAUAUAUAUAUAUAUAUAUAUAUAUAUAUAUAUAUAUAUGUCCAUUAUGGCCCAGCUCCAGCCCAUAUACAGCCUCUGUUCACAUUUUAUCUUCUCCAAAAUUUGAUAAGAAUUUGCAACUAUGCUAAAAUUCAAUAUUCUUGCCCAAAAAUGCCAACGAUGUGAAAAGCAUGAAGAGAGCAAUCCAUGUUUGAGGAAAAGGAAGCGGUCUAAGUUUUUAUGUGCCUCGUAAAGCUAUAUAUAGCAUGACAGCAAUAAGAAACAACUUCAAUAUUACAAAAUGAAGAUAGAAUAUGAUAUCCUUUUACCUUGAAAUCUUGGACAAGCAAAAGUUCUAGGCCAGGUUAUCUUGAAGAAGCUGAAAACUGCAAGAGUCUGCCGAAAGAAAAAGUGUGUAAUUUAUUCCGUUAGUUUUCACCACUAAGAAGCAAUUCCAAAGAUAUUCAAUUAAGACUCUGCCAAAAGUAUGUGCUUUAUUUUUUUUAUUUCCUACGAGUAUGAUUGUUGAGUACUGAGGAAUACGAUAUUUUUAGACUGCAGCGUUGCCCAUCACAAUGUCUCAGUCAACGUCUUCCUUCCCAGUUCGUACGCAAAGAGUCAAAAGGCUCAAUAUUUUGAUACGGUGUUGGCAUAAUUGUUGUUUGUAUGUUUGUAUGUUUUUUUUUUGUCUAUGCCUUUAUAGCGCAGGAUUAAUUUAGACAAUUUUUGCUAGCGUUGGUAUGAAUAAUUUUUUAAAUGGACUGUUUUUUCGCUAUACUUUUGUAGCACAGGAUUUAGAUUGCUUAAGUUAAAUAAGCCUAUUAUUUUCCUUAAAUUUUAUGGGAAAUUUUGGAAAAAGGGAAUAAGAAGAGUGAAAAUUCAUAAGUAGGGGGUAAGUUUUAGGAAAUUUGUAAAUGGUAUAAGGGUUAUUAUUAAUAUAUUAUAUUAAAAAUUUUGGUUUCAUGAUAAAUUUACAAAUUAACCCUUAUGUGCACAUAAGUACACUUGUAUGUGCAAAUAUAUCAUAUGUGUGUAUUUGAACAAAUACUUAUAUUUAUCAAAACACACAUUAUUAUUCAUUAAUGUGCAUGUUUCUAUUCAACAAGGUGCACAUUGUUAAGAGGGUAAUUCAGUCAUUUAGCAAUAAAAUUAUUACGUAGUUGCUUUAAUUCGUGAGUAAUAAUCCAUGCCCCAGUUACCAAUCUUGUAAAAUUUACAAGCUCCUUAUAGAUUGUUUUCCUAUUCUUUUUUUUUUUUUCAAUUUUCCCAAAUUAUUUUGACGACAUCAUGCUACGCUGCCUGAUCAUGCCAUGCCAUAUGGCCAUUUUGAUGACUCAACGAAAGCUCCUUAAGGAAGCAGGGGAGACAUUUCCAGGAAAUGGUGCGGCAACACUUUGGUGACUAAGGUCUAAGGGGAAGAAUUUCUGAGGCUUGAAAAAGGGGGGGAAAAAAUGGACAAAAUGAUAAGGGUGGAGGGCCGGGGCCAUCUUCUAGAUAUUGUGGAGAAAGGGGCUUGCUAUCUGCUAAAAUGAGCUCCCUGGAAUCAUACAAUCAAUUGGCCAAGAAUGAGCAAAUUUUCUUGGCAAGGGGGCCUACUUGAUCUAGUCAAUCAAGUAGAUACCUAGAAGUUUAGAGGUAGCAAAUCAACCCACUUAACUAAAUUUAUCAAUAACCGCUCAUGAAUAAAUGAGUAUGGGUAUCUUAAAUUUUUGUAUAUGGAUAUAAAUGGGUUACCCAAUAAUACCCAUUUAUUAAAUGGAUAUUAUUGGGUAACCCAUCAAACCCAAUUAACCCAUUUAGAAUUCUCUUCCCCCCAAGUCUCUUCUUUUCCCCUACCCAUUAUUUUUUCAAAAUUUUCAUUUUGUCAUGAUGUUAACUAUUUUUGUUUCAUUAUUAUUAUUAUUAUUAUUAUUAUUUGUUGGUUUUAUCUUAUUAUUUAUUUUCUCUUAGUUUGUUAACUUGCUCAUUUUCAGCAUUACCAACUUAUGAUAAAUUUUAGCCUAUUUUCUUAUCUUUAUAAAAUGAAAUUUUAAAUGUAUAUAUGAAAAAAAUGUUAGGGGUUCAAAAUUUUUGGAUUAAGUUUUUAUAUUAAUUUUUAUAGUACUUAGUUCAAAUUUUUAUAUUCUUAUUAUUCAAUUAUUAAAUAAUAGGUAAUUUUUUGACAUAGAGUAUAAAUGAAAAAAAAUUGGUAAUUAAGUUUAUUGAACAUUAUAAGUAAAUAUUUAAAACUAAUGAUGGGUACAAAGAGUGGUAUAAAUUGAUAACUUAGUUUGCAAAAAUGAAUUUAAAUGAGUUUACAAAAUGUUAAAAUAAAUGGGUUAUAAAUGGGUAAUUGGGUUACUCAAUUCAUUUUUUGACUUACCCAUUUAUACCUAUCUAAUUAAAUGAGUAUAAAUGAGUUGACUCACUUGUACCCAUUACCCAUUUUACCCAACCCAAACCCGUCCAAGUCACCCAUUUUGACACCUCUACCUAGAAGGAGACUAAUGGAAUUGUUGAAGUGCAUAGGGUUCGUUUGGAUUCCUUGUUUUUGCACCUGUUUUUGAAAAACUGUUUUUCACAUUCCAAAUGCUACAGUAAAUGUGUAUUUCAAAAACAAUUCCAAAAACACCCAUAUCCAAACAUUAUAUCAAAAACAACUCCAAAUAUACAAAUUUAAUAUGUAUAUUUAUUUCAAUUAUUUAUAUUAUAUACAUUAUAUUAAUAUAAAUUGAAAUAUACAAAUUGAAAAUUAUAUAUUUAUAUGUUAUACAUGUUAUAUAUUAUAUAUUUUAUAAAUAUUUAUAUACAUUAAUAUUAUACAUAAUAUAAUAUAAUAUACAUAAUAUAAUAUACAUAAUAUGUAAUAUUGUAUACAUAAAUGUAUAAAUAUUUAUACAUAAUAUAUUAUGUACAUUACAUUAUAAUAUAUACAUUAUUAAUGUACUUUCAUUAUUAUGUACAUUAUUGUGUAUAAUAAUGUAUAAUAAUGUUAUGUAUAAUAUAUAAUAUACAUAAUAUGUAAUAAUGUAUAAAUGUAUAUUAUGUAUAAUAUAUUAUAUUAUGUAUAUUAUAUUAUAUAUAUACAAUAUUAUGUAUGUUAUACAAAUUGCAAAAUUUUGUAUUAUAUAUUUAUAUAUUAUAUAAAUAUUUAUAUAAUGAAAUAUACAAUAAAUAUUACAAAUUGAAAUAUUAUAUAAACACCAUAUUUAUUAAUAUUCAAAUAUUUAUAAUUAAUAUUAAUGUAUAUUAUAUAUAUUAAAUAUUUAUAAAUAAUAUAUUUAUUUAUUUAUUUAUUCAUAUUAUAUAUAAUUUAUUUAUUUAAUAUAUAUUUUUAUAUAUUUAUAAUAUAUUUAUAUAAAAAAUAUAUAUAUUAUAAAAUUAUAUAUAAUAUAUUAUAUUAUAUUAUAUAGAUUAUACAUUUAUAUAAAUGUACAUUUAUACAUAAUAUAUAUAUUUAUGUAUAUUUAUAAUAUACAUUUAUAUUAUGUAUUAUAUAUAAUAUAAUACAUUUAUAAUACAUUUAUAUUAAUAUACAUAAUAUAUUAAUUUUAUAUUUAUACAUAAUAUUAAUACAUUUAUAUAUUUAUAUUAAUUAUAUUAAUACAUUGAUACAUAAUAUUAAUAUAUAUUUAUGAUAUAUUAAUUUAUACAUUUAUAUAAUAUUCAUUUAUAAUUUAUAUAUUUAUAAUAAUAUACACUUAUACAUUUUUAAAUAUAUUUAUAUUAUGUAUUAUAUAUAAUAUAAUACAUUUAUUUAUUUUUAUAUAAAUAUAUAAAUAUAUUUAUUUAUAAAUAUUUAUAAAUGUAUUAUAAAUGCAUAAAUAUAUAUUUAUAUAAAAAUAUAAAAUUUAUAAUUUAUAAUUUUUACAUUUAUGUAAUAUUCAUUUAUAAUUUAUACAUUUAUAAUAAUAUACAUUUAUACAUUUAUAAAUAUAUUUAUAUUAUGUAUUAUGUAUAAUAUAAUACAUUUAUAAUAUAUUGAUAUAUUUUUAUAUAAAUAUAUAAAUAUAUUUAUUUAUAAAUAUUUAUAAAUGCAUAAAUGUAUAUAAAUAUAAAAAUUAUAAAUUAUAAAAUACUCAAAAAUAUGUUUUAAAAUACCUCUAAAAAUAAUCCAAAAAACAUCUAUAGUAAAAGUUUUUCAUAUAGUUUUUGAAAAACAACCUCAAAAACAACUAAUCCAAACGGACUUGUAUUUCAAAAAUGAAAUGCUACAGUAUUAUUUUUGAAAAACAACCCCAAAAACAGCUAAUCCAAACAGCUAAUCAAAAAUGAAAUGCUACAGUAUUAUUUUUGAAAUGCUACAGUAUUCUGUUUCACAGUUUGUUUUCGGUAGGGUCUGAGUAAUUACUUGUAUGGUUCCUAUUUUCGUAGAGAUACUUUUCUUAUGUAAUAUUUAUUUCCGAAAUACUUUUCCUGUGUAAUGUUUUAUUCCAAACUUUAUGGGAUUCUGAAGAAGAGUUGGCAUAUAUUGUUAGGUAAAAACCAAGGUCUAAGCCCACAUCACAGGUACAAAAGAUCUCUAUGAACCAUUAAUUUUGUGGUGUAACUUUAACCCACUUGAUGCAGAUAACUAUUUUUUUUUUUAAGUGCGUGAUUCGUCAGUUAAAAAAUAAAAUUCAUCAAGAAAAUGGAUGUUCUUCGUUUGUCCAAAAAAAUAAAACAAAGGAAAAGACAAGAAGAAUUGUGCACGAAAACCUACUUCAUUAGUCCUUGAGCUAGAUACCUUGUGUAAUUUUUUAUUUCAUUAUUUUUAAUUUUGAGUAUAUCAAAUGAAAGAUCUAAACAGAAUAGGUAAUAGGAGCUGUACCCUAAAUAUGUCACGAUAAAAAUGGCUCAAACACAGUAUCUUUUUUUUCUCCAAGAAAAGAAGAAGAAGAAAAUGUCUCAAAACAUCCAUUUUCUUUAAAUGGAUAGUUUAAAUUAAAUCUACUCCUUUUUUAUUUUUUUAAGUCAAAAAUUUUAAAUUUUAAAUUUUUUAUUUAUAAUUCCUCUCACCCUACCUCGUCUCGAUUAAACCUCCUCCAUUAUUAGACGUCCAAAAAUUAUUUUAAACAAAAUUUAUUUUUUAAAAAAAGCAGGCCAAAAAUAGGCCAUCAAAACAGGAGCCCGUAGCCCAAUAUGUGCCUCAAGGGCCAAUGGACAACCAGUACUAGUAGUGAACCAGCACUGAAAGGAAAUGACUUGGCCGUUGACAACAAGUCAACAACGACAACAGGAAACUUCCAGGAAAUUGCGAGGAAGGCUUUUCAAGGUGAUGGUUAGACUGGUGAACCGAGAAAUUUGAGUAAAACAAAAACAUCUCGCACGCGUGAUUAUUAUGUCCAAGUCUGGAUUGCAUGGGAUUUUUUUUUUUUAUAAAAAGUUAUUAUAACUAUUUUAUACAUGUGAAAUAAAAAAAUAAUUAAAAAUAUGUUCAUAAAAAAUAUAACAAUUUUUCUUUGAAAAAUGGCAAUCCAAACACAUAGGGUUUAGUAUUCUAGAUUGAUGUCAAGUUGCUGCAAAAUUACCUGUACUAGACAAAUGAGUUCCUCCUUUGGUCUAGUCUAAAAUUGAUCUGCAAAAUUUUCUUACCUGAGCAAAUAAAAGACAUGGACAUGCCUUGACUUUUUUUCAAUUAAAGUUCCAAUACUCUUUUAUGGUAUCGACAUCAUACGAUUAAAAUUUCCUCACCUCACCUACACCAAGUUCUUGGGAAAAUAUAAAAUUUGGAUUGUCAUUUUCUAAAAUUUUUGUAAAAAAAUAUAUUAUAAGAAUUUGAUAUAUGUAAACUUAAAAGAUAAUUAAUAAAUAUGUUUAUAAAAAAACAUAAAAUUUUUUUGAGAAAAAUAGCAACCAAGUAAGGCGCCUUUCGAUGAAUUUCUUUUGGAAAAAUGACUUGGCCGUUGACAACAAGUCAACAACGACUAAAGGAUUAGUGAUGAUAUUAACUUUGACUAAAUGGCAUCUUUGACUGAUGAUAUUAACAGCCUAAGAGUUUUAUUCCAGAAAUGCUCCUUUUGUUUAGAUAGCAAGUUAGAUUCAAGAUGUGAAUGGAUUAGUGAUUAUGCUUUAGGCAUAUCUCAAGAUGAGAAAUGGAUCAAUCUUUAGUGUGUAUAAUAUUUUUUGUAUAGAACCAGUUGAGCCUUUGCUCAGAUAAAUGUAUAUUUUUGCCAAUCAAUAUAUAACCUACCGUUGCAGAAAAAAAAAAAAAACAACGACUAAAGGAAACUCCCAGGAAAAUGGUUGCUGCAUCAAAGAUUGAUCACUGUUCCCCUUUCCUCAUCUAUAGUGGUUCAGUUUGAAUUAGCUGUUUUUGAAGGUAUUUUUGAAAAAUUUUGUUGUAGCAAAGUUUUUAGAUUAUAUUUUGGGAUAUUUUCAAAAAAUAUUUUGAGAUAUUUAAGAAUAGAAGAGUUUCUAAAAUAUAUUUUGAGAUAUUUUAAAAAAUUUUAAAAAAUUUAAACUAAUUUUUAGAUUACCUUUUAGAGUACUUUUUAAAAAAUUUUAUUAUAUUUAAAAAACUAGUUUUUAAAAAACAGUCCCGUCUUCAAAGCAUAAUGCAAAUGAAGGCUUCUUUUGAUCAUCAAUUCACAAUUAAACUGAAAACACUAAUCAAUUGAAUUGGUGUAAGCUUUGGGAUGUCCAUUCAUCUAUAACAUCCCAAUGUUUAUGCGAUUGGACUGCAAUCAUUUCCUUUUAAUGGUUGAGGACUAUUGUCACAAUUCACAAGAAAUGUUAUUGUACUGUUAUUAUCUGAAUAACACGCCUAUUUGAACUCUUAUUCUUCCGCUCUAAAAAAAUCUGUGGCGGGGAUAUGAAUUUAUUGCAAUAGUAUUCAUGACUUGCUAAAGUCAGUCAAUGUAAAAGUCGCGUAACUAGCAAAAAGAUGCUAUAAGCUUUGUGGCCAUCAAACACGCCAAAAAAAGGUGGCAGAGUCAUCUCCCACAUUAAGCCAUCUAAUGCUCUGCUUCACCUUCCAGCCGCCUUCAUGCUGAAUAAUGACCUCCAAACAAUUCAAAUUCAUAAUUGCUACCAUUUACAAGAAUUUUGAUAUACUAAAAGUUUGUUUUGGAAGUUUAUUCUUGUAAAGUCUCUAAAUUCAAAUAGAGAAAACUAUUUUCACUUUAUAAUUUGAGUAAAUUAUGAACUAAAAAGCAUAUUAAACUUAGAAAAGAGAAAGUAUAUUAAAUAUUCAUUGGUUUUAAUUAUACUACUACUACAUGCCAUCUGCUGUCAUAGAUUAACCCCCCUUAGAAAUAUAUUUCACGUAAUGUUUUGAGCAUUUUCAUAUAUUUUGAGACUUGAUUGUAAUUAGAGCUGGCAAAAAAAUUCAAAACCCAACAACCCGCUCAACCCGUCCAUUAAUUUUAAAUGAUGGGUUGGGUCAAUUGGGUUACGGCUUACCCAACCCAACUUAUUCAUUGGGCGGGUUGAGUUUUUUAUUUGGGUACUCAAUACCCAACUUGUUUAAAAGUAAUUCAAAAUAAUAAAUAUAAAAUUUAAUACACAUAUGCUCAACUAUUUGUAUUUGGACAUAUGUUAAUAAUGUAUUGAUUAAUUUGUAUUCACAAUUCUCUUAUAUAUAUUUUCAAUCAAUUUUUUAAUUUUUAUUUAAAAGAAACAAAAAUUUGAAAUAAAAACUCAUGCUUAUUUUACCUUUUUAACAGUAGUUUGCAGUGAGAUCAGUGAUGAUAUUAAAUAACCAAUGGAAGUACAGUGAUGAGCAAGAAAAAAUCAAUUUGCAUGAGGCAAUUGAAUUCAUCGUUUGACUGCUGGCGGCUAUGAUUUUUUGUCAAGACAUUAGAUCAAUAUCUGCAGAAAGAAACUAAGAAAAACAAUUCGAAAUGACAUUUUUUUUAUUGAUAACUAGGUAUAUUUGCCAUAUUCACAAGAAAGUAACUCUUUGGUUGAUGAGCAAGACUUAUGAGAGACAAUUGAAAUAUAUGUCCAACCAUGACCGUAAAAAAUCUUUAAUUUCAUUGAAUUAAAGAAGUAAUGAGGUGAAUUUGACUAUUGUUUCAUUGAAUUCUGUCAUAGUUUUUACUUUAAUUAUCUGUGCAAUUAGUCAUUAAAGAUUUUGGGAUGGCAGACUUCAAAUAUAAUACUCCUACAUAAUAGUUAGACUAAGCAUAAGGCAUUCUUCUUGUCUUAAAAUAUGUAACUACUGUUGACCAAUUUAGCAUUGGACAGCAGCCAAUUAAUUGUGGUUUCUGUAUCUUUGGGUUUUAAAUGUGGAACUUAUUAACACAUUUAAAAUUUUUGAGAAUAUAAGGACUAAAGUACAAACUUAUUUUCUAUAAUUUCAAUAUUAAUAUACAACAAAUUAUAUGCCUCUUACUUACAUUUUCAAGUAUAACAUAAUCUAGCAUUCAAUACUUUAAAUACAUAGAAUAUUACAAUUUACAAUAAAGCAGAUAUAAAUAGUAAAAGUGUUAAUAAGUUUUGACAAAAAUAAGUUUCAAUCAAUUAGUAGUAUUAAAAAGUAUAAGUUAAACAAUUUUUUUAGCUAAUCUAUUUAAAUGUACAAUUUAUUAUCUAAAAUUCACAAUACAAGCAAUAUAAAAUAUUAUUCUAUUUAUGAUGUGUUUUCAAGUAACUUAAGAAGUGAGUGUGUGUUUGUGUGUGUGAAAAUGUGUUUAUAUGUGUGAAAAAAUCUUUUUUGUAUGUUAAAAUGUAUGUGAAAAAGUUUAUGUAUUAAAAUGCAUUAAUUAAUAUGUUGGGUCAUAUUUGGAUAAUGGGUUUAAGAUAACCCACUAUAAUCCAACCCAAAAUCAACUCAAUCUAAAGUUGGACGGGUUGAGUAUAACCCGUUUAAGUAAAAACCCAAUAUUAACCCAAUAUUAACCCGCCCAAUUGCAGAGGUAUAAUUGUAAUCAGACAAUGGUUGCUUUUGGCGUAAGCGUGACAUAUGACUGCGUACAAACAAAGAAAAACUAAAGAUAUUUUUUGUUAAGAGAAAAUAAUCACAGAAUUGUUCACAAACAAAUCACAUAAUUCUUUAAACAAAGAAUCUUUCUGCAUCUCUUUUCUCCAAUCCCGUGCUGAAUUUUCCCUUCUUUUUUAUGAAACAAAAAAUUUGGUGAGCUGGCCAUAACAUGGAGUCUGAUGAUAUUUGAUAAUGCGUCUCUUUUCCCUUUUGGUUGUUUCGACGAAAGAAAGAAAUGGGGAAGGCAAAGGUAGAAGAAAUAAAGAGCUUAAUAUUCUAAUUUACGUUGCGCGGGAAAGGAGGAAACCUCCAGAGAAGUACGUGCCCCACUGGCCAAAGAAAUUUGUCAAUUUAUGCCAGGGUGCUUUUCUAAAAAUUUAUUAUUACCCCACUAAAUUGUAAACAGGCCUUCAUUGGCCAAAAAAAAAAAAAUCUGCUGGGUGUAGAAAAAUCUUAUUUCUAUACACGUUAAUUUGUGAGAAGUAAAUAUAUACAUACACCCACUUUUAGCUUGAUAACAAUUGUAAUUAAAAAUAAACAAGUAAAAAAGAUAAUCCAUUGAGUACGAGUCCAAACUCAAUACAUCCGUUUGGAUUAGUUAUUUUUGGGGGUGUUUUUGAAAAAUUUUGCUGUAGUAGAGUUUUUAGAUUAUAUUUUGAGAUAUUUUUAGAAAAGUUUUUGGGAUAUUUAAGAGUAGAAAAGUUUCUAGAAUAUAUUUUGAGAUAUUUUAAAAAAUUUUAAACUAAUUUUUAUAUUACCUUUUAGAGUAUUUUUUAAAAUUUUUUAUUGUAUUUCAAAAACUAGUUUUUGAAAAACACUCCCAAUGUCCUGGGAGUUGUUGUCCACUGCAAGAUACUUUACACAACCAAAAUAUAUAUAUACGUGUUUUAUUGAGUUGUAUGACAUUUGUGAACUUUUUAUUUAUUUAUUUAUCUUUGCAUGUUACUUAUUAAAUUCAUGAUUCACUUCUUUCCAUGUGGAUUUUAUUAUUGCUAGUUAUUGUUUACAAUUAUAUGAACUUUUUAAUAAUUACUAGUCUAGUAGCACAUGCUACGUACGUCGACUAAAAAUUUUGCUAUUGAUUCAAGUGAUUAAUUUAGAAAUUUAUAAUAAUUUUGUUGCAAUGUAAAUUUCGAAUAGAAUAAGAUUGCAGAAAGAAUACUUCAGAUGUAAAAAUCUAGAUAUAUUACUACCCAUUAUUGUUUUUGCACUAUUCAUACUGUUUUUGUUUUCUCGACUUCUUUGUUUUCUUUAGAACUCAAUAUUUUGCGGACCAACUCAAUAUUUUCAUGUAUACUGGAGAUUAGCAGUCUAACUAAUAUAUUGAAUGAGACAAAUUUCCUGAAUGGGAGUGUUCCGAUAACAUUUUUGAGGAGUUAAAGCAAGAAGUUUAUGUAAGUAUUAAAAGCUCGAAAGGAACAAUUGAGAAAUUUCCUUACGAAACUCCAUGGCAAGUGCAAAUACGGAUAUUUAUGUAGUAGAGACCAUAAUAUAAUUAUUCUGAUUUUAUUGUAGUGGAUACCAAUAGACAAAAUAAACAAUUAGUUCGGCUAAAUAAGACCCUUCCAUGAACUCUUCACAUGAACUCCAACCAAGAAACGUUUCCAAUGCCUCUCUAAAUAAGACCCUUCUUUGCAACGCAAUGAAUUCAUUCUCUAAAUUCUCCAGCCAAUGUUUAACCUCUGUUUUCCUAUUCUUUCGCCUGUAUAGUUCGGCUCUCUCCACUGUCUCCUUUAUGUCAGAUGCUCGGCUACUCAAUGCCUUCAGAAGUAACUUGUCCCUGGAUUCACCGGUAGCUCUACAGCCCUUUCUGCGGCAUCAUAUUUAUGGCCUUCCAACACAUAUUUGUCAUCUGUCAAGAACAGAGCAAACAAUUCUCGAAUUAGGUGCAAAUUUGCAGCAAACUAGACCCCUCAAUCGAAUUGUUUACUAUAACAUAUUCCUACAUCAUUGUUAAUUGGACAAGGAGAGGAGGAGGAUGUUACCAGUUUUCGUACCCUAUCAUCCUCCUGUUCUUUCGUAAACUCCUGGGUACUUCUAUUUCCUAGCCCUGAGGUUCUAAGUGCCUUUAGAAGCACCUCUUCGGAUUGGAUCCUACUCUUCUCCCUCUCCACCAUUUCUCCAUUCUGAAACUUCUAGUAUCUUUUAUCCUUCACCGUAUCAUCCCUUACCACUCUUUCCUUUGCAGGGCUUCUGUUAAUCCCAGCACGCAUCCAUGGGUUGUAUUGGUUCUCUAGAAGACCUCCUGGAACAGUUAUGCGUUCUUUGCAAGUCCGUUCCCCAUGUCCUACUAUUCCACACUUAUAACAGAAAUCCGGGCACCUUUCAUACUUAAAAGCAACCCACUUGAGUGACCCUGCUACCUACACCAAUGUUCCUCUGAGCAGGGGUUUUGACAGAUCAAUAUGUACUAAAACUUUCAAGUGCCUACCUUCUUUUCCCCCUAUAUGAGAGAUAACAACGUCCUUUAUAUCUUUAAACACUGCUCCUAUUUUUCUGCCCACCUCUUUGGAGAGCCAAUGCACGGGAAGGUUCCAAAUCUGAACCCAUAAAGGAGUAGUAACAAAAGCACCAUAGUUCUCUUCUAUCCCUUCUGACCAUCUGUUCAACACUAAGAUUUGAUUAUCCAUUAACCAAGGACCCCCUGUCAAUAUUCUUUCUUUAUCUUCUUUGUGGCGGCCCCACUUCUCCCUAAGGCGAACCAAAGGGUUGGCGGGUCGCCUGCCUAGCUCUCGCUAGGACUCACGCACUCUAGUAACUAAUUUCAUCAAAUAUAAAUCGAAAAUAAACCUUACUUCUCGAGCAAGUCACGUACUUAAAUAAUUCAUACAAUUCAACUUAUACAGUCCAAAACACAAUUCCAAGUACCAACGAAAACGUCGAGCUUAGUAUACUUAAAUUCAACUUAAUUUACAAUUUAAAGUUCCUAAUCCAGGGCACAGAAGCACCACAGGAUUCAUAUUCUCCCAAAAACACAAAAAUCAUCCAAAAGAUACUAACAUUUCCAAAAGUACAAUUACAAAAGUGGGCAUUCAAAAUAUAACAUUUCUGUUCUAGUUCUCCAAGACUUCAUGCAUUUCAGAACCUGUCAAAGAAAACAAUUUGGAAGGGAUGAGCCAAUAGCUCAGUGGUGCCUCGAAACAUGCAAUUCACAUAAGGCAAUUUAACAAGUACAAAUAGACAAGUAAGCACUUAACAAUUUAAGAAAGCGAAAUAACAUGACAAGAAAAGGAUACGGGGCUCUCAGGAGCCAAAGUCCACGCACUUGAUCAGAAAAUUUAUAGUAGUUGACACUCCGUCAACUUUCACUACCUAAACUCCAUAUAGACAUUUUCCCUAAUCUACACAUCUCCUAGCAACGUUUUCCCCCUUAUUUUCGGGCCCGAUUCCAACACGAAUAUUGCAAGCACUUUUACCAAGAUGGUAGAGAGGUACCUCCCACUCUAAUAGAGCGUGGUACGUGCAUCCGUUUGGUUUAUUUAGUCGACGAGACCACGCUCCAAUCGACAUUGCAACACUUGUACUUGUGGCAUUUCACGCAAUCACAUAGCAUAUAACAUUUCAUGAUAUCUCUAGCAAGUACUUUUAACAAGUAGUUCAACUAGCAGUUAAACACGAUUCAUGCAAGAGACACUCACCUCAAGUGAAGUGUCUAGAAUUCCAAACUUUGAUCGAGAUUGUGCUCUUCACCAACUCCUAAAAUCAUACAAAUAAUUCACAUAAAUUUCCACUUUUGAGUUGGAGAAUUUAACUCGAGUCAACUAGCAUUUAAUUUCACUCAAAAAUCCCAAACUUGUAUUAAUCGUUUUCUCAAAGUGAAAUCCACAAAUCGAGUGAAAUUAAAUUUUGAGGUUUCUUUAAAACCCAAAAACUUGCUAAAUUCGUCAAAUAUUCCAACAUCCAAGUUCUAGAAUCAUAUAAGCCAUUUAACACCAAUUUGGUGUCACAAGUUGAGAAAAUCACAUUUAAACCAUUUAGAGGAAUUUUCCCCUCAAAUAUUUCCCAAACAUAUCUUGGGAAAUUCCUUUAAGAGGCAAUCAUAUAAACCAAGUAAAACUAGUCGUUAGAAUUUCUAUAAAAUAGAAACUCCUUAAGUUUGCCAAAUUCCACGACCAACUUAGUCCAAUGAUUUUCAUGAAGGCAAAAACUUGAGUUUUUAGGAAAAUUUCCAGAUUUGACAAAUUCCUCAAAAUAGGGCAUUUGGUCUAAUAAAAUUCAAGGUUAUCAACUCAAAGUGGACCUAGUAACAACGGUUAAUGCUAGAAAACAUUUUCGGGACAAUUUUGGUCCACAUUUACCCACAAUGAAAUCCAAACAUCAAACCAUUUCUAAUUUCAAACAAAAAUUCUGUUUUGGUAUCUUCUUGAAGAAUAAGAUUUUGGUCCACUUUUUGGACGUAACCUCUACUAGAUUUUUGUCCCAAAUUGAGCUAUACAAACCCCUUAAUUAAUACACAAAUCAUUUGAGCUCAAGUUAUCGUGAAAACAGUUCACAAUUAUCAUUCAAAGCUGGAAAAAUUUCAGGUGCAUUCGGUAGCAAGUAGUCCAUUUCCCCUUCAAUUUAUCCAAAAUUUUUCAACUACCCAAAAGCUACAUUUUCACCCAAAAAAUACUACCCAUAUAGUUUAACAUGUAUACAGCCCAAGUAGUUCAAAAAUUUGUCAAAAUUGACCCCCAAAAUGCGACUAAAAUCUGGAAAAUUUCCAGAAUUUUUUGGACAGCAUAUACCUUCCUUUUCCUUCAAUUCCUCAACAUCAUUUCAACUACGAAAGUGGUGCAUUUUCCCUCAAAUGACCAUAGACAUUCAGCUUAACAUUUACACAAUCCAUGAAGCUCAAUUUCUUGUCAAGAAUCAGAUCAGAAACUCGAACACAAACUGGGAAAAUUUGGACAGUUUGGUUCAAUAGCAGAGCAGUUUUCGUAUUUUGGUCACAUCUCAUUCAAUUCAACUUAGAUUUGAGCAUGGUUGGUAGCGUUGGAAACUACACUCAUAGGGAUACAAUUUUUCAGAAGAAAUCGUUUUAAAAUUCUACUCAUAACUAGCUCGAAAUCUGGCAACAAAACGCAGCUCAUAUCCUGGCUUCCAGUGAACCAGUGGAGCAGGACAGGUGACUUUAAAGACUGCCACGGUUCACUCAGGUGGAACCAGGACGUGAAUUUUACACCGUUGGAAAGCUGGAAGAGUCUAGUUUCUAAUGGCGCUAAUGGCACUCAAUUUCGAUGUCGGAGGGCAGAGUUAUGAUCGAAACAAAAUGGCUGCCUGAGCCAUACGGGAAAAAUUUCCAGAUUUUGCUGGUUUUGGAAUUCAUCACCUUUGGUCAACCAAACCUCAAUAUCUUUCAAUGAAACUUUACACACAACUCCAACAACACAUAAACAUCAAAUACAAGCCUUUAAAACCUCAGAAUUUCGCAUGAAAAAGGUCGGUCUUGGCAGGGGCAGAAUCAGAACUUUUUGCUUCAAGAGCUCAAUGAAGUUUCUAGCAAUAAUGCACCUUUAAUCUACUUCCUUAAGCACUAAUUCAACAAUAAAACCAUCAUCAAACAUCAUCACAGCCAUCAACUCAAAGUGGGAGUUCAUAGAGCCCACAUUCAACAAUUUCCAACAAUAAUAAGCUACCCAUAAGCAUAAUCAAGCUCUUAAGUGUGAGUUGGCCUUCAUUGAACAAGAAUUGAAGAGUGGAUCAUGGUUACCUUACUUGUGUGCUAAAAGGUCAGAUUUUGGUGUCCCAAAAGCCCCAAGAAAAUCCGUGAAUGUGCAGCUCCUUCUUUGUCCAAGGGAUUGUCCAAGUUGUCUUGAGCUUGUGUGGUGAAUUUGGUGUGAAUUGGAGCAAGAAAAUGGUGGAGGAAAAAUUGUGAAAUUUGGAGUGUGAGAGAGAGUAGAGACCGGCGGUUAUGGUGAGGGGAAAGGGAGGGAAAAAUCUGAAAUGGAAAGCUUCCUUGAGAAGCUUGAGUGUGGUACAACUUUUGUGCUCCCAAGUCAACCGUGAACAGUGUAUCGCGCGCGCGUUUCGCGCCCGUUUCCUCUAAGGUUUGUUUUAACUGUGCACUAAACCUCUAAUGCACAUAUAUUCAUGUAAUUAUCAUUCACUCUUAAUGACCUCAAAAUAAGGUUCUAAAGUCCUUCAAAUAAAUCGCGCGCGUAAAACGCGUAUUUCCCACUUAUGCGCGAUAAGGUGAAAUUUUUAAGAAAUUCUUAUAACGAUGGCAUUUCUAACUAAUACAUGGAUAUUUAGGCAUAAAAAUACCUAUUUUAAGACUAGGGUAUAAAUCUCCCAUUAUUCGGGCUCAUGAACUCUCGAGUCAGUUACUAUUCCUGAGCCUACGGGCACUAUUCACACUUGACAACUUUCAAGACUUGAAUUGCGAACUAAUUGCCUUAAAAUUACUCAUGAGCUAUAAUGCUAUAGAAUUGGGUCCAAUAGGGCUAAAAAAUAAUAUUCGAAAUAAUUGAACAAUUAACUAAUUAAAUAACCUCAGAAUAGGAAUUUAAAAGAAAUAAAUUGCGAGUCCUCACAUUCCUCAUCUAACAUUUCUCCAACUUAAUUAUACCUUUUUAUAGCCUCUACAUAUACUACAUUUCAACUUAGGACUAAUUCGCGCGUCGGUGCACGAAAAUUCAACUUAGGGCUUUGCCGAACGCGAAUCGUCAAUUAAAUCUUAAAAAUUCAAAUAAAUUGAAAUGUAACAUUUGAAUGAUUGAAAACAAUAUUAUUUAAAUAUAAAUACAUAUUAUUGGAUAAUUUUAAUAUUUUCAAUAAUAUUUUGAUUUAAUUUUCCAGAGGAUAAUGAAAUUUUUGAGGUCUUCACAUUCUUGGUUUGGGAUAUUAAAUUGGAACAAAUUUGGUCCCAAUUCCAUGACUGUCAGAUUCUUGGGGUAACUCCAUGCUGCAGUCACAAAAUUCUUCACCCCGAUAAAGUUAGCUAUUUUCUCACCCAUGGUUCUUCCUAUCAGACUUCCUUUAUAGUCCUUUACUCCACUGCUCAGGUCCUCCAACUCCAGUUUAGCUCCAGAGAUCUCAUUCCCCUCCAGCGAAAAUCUUUGUAAUAAUUUAGUUAAGUCACCCUCCAUAGAUAUAUUCUGAGAUGCUAGCGGGUAUAAUCUCUCUGAACUUAGAAGUUACGCCUUUUCAACUACCAGCCAAGUUUUAGUAAAAGAGAAGACACAAAGAGUAGCUAAGAAGUAAAGAAGCGAAAAAAGCAGGGGACAAAAAACAAGCACAUCUAGACCAAACUAACACAGUAAAUAGGACCAGCCAGGCUUACGACAAGAGAAACAGAUUACACAGACAAAUAAUAAACGCUGUAAAAACUAAUGCACAUGUACAGGCCCUACCUCUGAAACGGGAGCAAGGAAAGGAGAUAAUCAAGUUUUACCUUGCUUUCAGCUGUUCAUAAAGUGUAGGACUCAGACUACCUUGUGUUCCCCCUGGAGAGACAUCCUUGAAUUUCCUUGAGUACGAUGGUUUAAGCUGCAUUAAUCUAACCUUGGUAACAGAAUCAGAUUGGUAGUGGUGGUGGUUGGAAUAUCUUGGGAAGAAAGUGCGGGAUAGUGUAAAUUUUGAAAAGGUUUGAAAACAUGCUGAAACUCCCACCAAAGGGAGGUUGGCUCUUACCCCAAGAGAGAGCUUCCUCUACACUAGAGAGAGGAUGAAACUUUGAGUUAGUAUUACUCCUUAAAAAAAUUAUUUGCCCCUGAAGUGAAGAUUAGCGUUCAGAGUCUUUAGACACUUUCGGUCAAAAAUUGGAAAUUUUGUCAAAUUUUACUCAAAAAUUGGAAAAUCGCGGUUCACGGUACGAGUCGGUUUAAUGGUUUGAACGGUUUUUUAACGAGUUUGACCAGUUCUUGAUCCAAGUCAACUUAAGUUAUGAAUCGGACCGAACACAUGACCGGUUCGCGGUCGAAUCGAUCGAACCGGCCUAUCUGAUCCGGGUUUAAAAACAUUGGGUACAGUCGGUUAGUUCGGAUACAUUGUUGCUCAUUGGUGCGCAUCGAUUUCCUUUGUCAGUUAUAAAAAGCAAUUGGAUUCUGACAACUGAAGUUGGUGGUGGGCCACUAGAAUCUCCAAUGAACCAACAAGUUCCGUAGGCAAAAGCUCAUGUGUCAUUUGAAUAUGACUUGAAUUAUUAUUAUUAGCUUGCUUGUUAGUUGAUUACAUUUGAUUUAAAAGAUUACUAUUACAUCAAUAGUUUAUUACAUUUAAUUAGUGUUAAUUUAUUACAUUUGAUUAGUAUUUGAAUUAGUUUAAUUAGCAAUAAUUUAUUAAUUAAUAGUGUUAUUAGUAUUAACUGUAUUAUAUCUGCCUGUUCAGUACAAGUACUAUUUAAUACACGUUAUUGCAUCUUCUUGUUUAGGGUUUACAAGUAUUUAAGGUUUCUGUUGCUAUUUAGUGCAAGUAGUUACUAUUAAUUAUAUUUAAUAUCUUCUUGUUUAGGAUCGAUUGAUUGAAUGUCAUACUAGAAAUAGUACCACCACAAAGCAAUAAUACAAGUACUAUUUAACAAAUAGUAAUAGUAACAGUAAAAGUAAACAGUACUAACAAAAAUAAUAGUAGUAAAUAUUAACCAUAAAGAAAAGUCACGGUAAUAAUAAUAAUAAAGUAAAUAGUAAUAUUAAAAAUAAAUAGUUAAUAAUAGAAAAGGCAAAUGGUGAAUAGUAAAAGUAAAUAGUAAAUAGUAAAAGUAAUUACUCAGUAAUAGUAAUAGUGAACAAAAAAUUGUGAUAAAAGUUUCAUUAAUAAAAAAGUAGUAAGUAGUAGUAAUUACUUAGUAAUAGUAAUACUAGGAAUAGUGAAUAAAAAAUAGUAAUAAGUAUUUCAUUAAUACUAAUUAGGAAUCAUUAAAUUAUAACAUAGGAAUAGCAUAAGUUACCGUUAAUUUUAUGUUUAAGGACAAAUUUGUGCUUGUCUAAUUAUUCUAUUACUUAUUACUAGUGAAUAAUAAUUUGUGAUUGUUUUAUUAUGGAUGUGAUUAAUUUAGUAUAGUUAAUGUAAAUUCAUGUUUGGAAUCACGUAAGUGCUUGAAUAUAAAAUAAAUAAUAUUCACAAUAUUAAGUAAAAAAUGUCAAUAUACCUUGCAUUGGUGAUUCAGUUUUAUUGGAGAGACAAAAUAGUGGAGACCUGAGGAUCACUUUCAUAUGAUCCACUGAGGUGCAAAACCAUAUUAGUACUAAAUUUCCCAUCGCAGAGAACACUAGUACCAGAUUAACUAGCAGAUUGUGAUUCAUUUUGCAGUACAAUAUUAUCAAUUAUUUCCUGACUUUCAUUGUUUAAGAUUCAUGAGAAAUUUACCUCCAGUUCAAUCCUUUUCCAAUUUACCCAACUAUCCAGAGUUAACAGAUUCAGAAGUAGAACUCAGCCACCAAAAAUAAAAAAUAAAUUAAAGAAAGCCAUUCAUGUCCAAUUAACAAAUGGCAUCAAGGGUGGAAUCGCAUUGAUUUUAGGUGGACUGCCUAAAAGCAAUUCGUACCAAAAAAUUCUGUUGAUAACAAUUCCAUACAUAAUUUAUAAAGUCGUUACCCUGAUAUUACAAGGAAUGCUGCUCCUUGAUUUUAUAAAUUCUCGUCCAACAUAUAAUUACGCACUAAAAUCUACUCAUCAUUGCUAUAUCCUUGAAUUUGCAGCAGGAAACACAAAAGGAUUUUCCUGUUCAAAUUUUCAGUAUAGCAAAAAAGACGAGUACUUUAUUGUUUCAUAUGUAGAUUCUAAAUCUCUGUGGAUGCAUGUAACGUCAGUCAGAGAGGCUUGGUACAUAUAGGGGUUUGGAAAACAUAUUUUCAAUAGGCACUGCUACCAACUCUCGAUGUUCCUCAUCAUGUUUCGGGCGAUAUUCAAAGUGCAGCAGAAGAGUCCAAAAAGUUCUUCUCCUUCAAGCUUUCAACUGUUUCCUUGAUGCUUUGCUCAAGGGGAAUGAAUUCAAGACCUAAGCUUUUUGCCUUCUCCUUGGAAACCUGGUACGUCGGCACAAAUGGCUUGUCAUCAGCGCACCUACAAAGGUUAUUCACCAAAAAACAUCAAAGGCUUGAUAAAAAUAAUAAAUAGUGUUGAAUUGGGGCAAUAGUCAAGUAAAAGUUCGCUCAUAGAAGUGAUGUUUUUUACUUCCUCAUCAGUCUUUGAUGAGCCAAAUUAAAUGAACAGCAGGUGAUGGACAGGAAAAUUCAUUGCCAUUAGUACAGGAUAUGUACUGCUGUAAGCAUAAUGCUUGAAUAAAGGUUAACGAUACUCACACACCCUUUUUAGCUUGCACACCCCUUCUACAUUCUCUAGGCUAUAUUGAAAGGCAUAGUAGCCAAAAUACAUAGUAGGGGAUGCACAAGAUGUUAAAAAGGGUGCGUGAAUCUCAUUAACCUUAAAGGAAUUACUACAAGGCAUGACAUCUUCAUGUACAAAUCAUAUGAAGAAUGUUUAUCCACUCAAUGCAACAUCAAAUAAAGCACUAAAGGAAAAAAAUGCAGUAAAAUUUUGCUCAACUUCACAUAUUAUGUAUAUAUCUCACCAUUUAGACAUGAUUCCAAGUAAGGUACGGUCACAAGGGUAAAAAAUCUGAUUGCAAUGAAGAAAGGUCAAAACUUGCACAUCAACAAUUUAAACUGACCAUCCAUCAUGUCUUUUGCCACCUCAAAAAUUUCCCUGAUGUUCAAUAACACAUCUAUCUGCCAUCCUACCAAAUCAGGUCGCCAGGCAUAGACGCUUUUCUUGGUUCAACAAUUAGUAGAAAACCAGUAUACUAGCUUAGUGCAUAUGCAGAUUGGUGUUCAAGGAAUUCUGAAUAUUUGUGAAUAACUAAUGCAUGCUCUUACCACGAGUGGGCAAAAACUAUAAUGAUGUCAUGGUAGUCAUGUACACAUUAUCAAUUCACAGGACUUCUAGUAAGAAUCUAUCUAGACUAGAAGUCUUCAUGAAAGGCAAAGUAUUGAGCUGAUUUCAUCGUAUUGAUUUGGGAAUGAAUAUGCACAUUUAAGACAGAAAAGCCACAAGUUUGGGGAGAAGAUCGUGCCAAUAAAGAACAGGUCUCAGGAGUUAAGCAAGAGGAAAUUUUAGAAUGCAACCUACAUCAGAGUAGGUUAUCAAACAGCCAAUUGCAAGCUAAAUGAAAAUUCCAACAUGAUCAUGUGACCUGAUAUGCUCAAUCCAAAAGAUUUUCUAAUAUCUGAAAGACAUAUCCGUAGAGCGAAGGUUCCAAGAACUAAACCAGAAAUACGAGGAUUAGAUUUCUUAGUUGAAGUACUUAAUAAAUUGACUAUCUAGUUACUGUUAACUUUCCUGAACGUUCUGAAACUGAAUUCGAUUUCAAAUAGCAAAAGCUUCAAAAACUUGUCAAUUCAACAUACAGAACCCUUGACAAGAACUUCCAAAACACAAUUGGCGGUAAGUUCAGGUAUUUAAGCUUUUACGAAACACUGAACUUAUCCAGAUAAUGCAAACAAUGUUAAUUGAAAUACUUAUCCACGGAAAAAGUUUCCUAAAAUAUAUUCUGCCAUUAGUUGCAGACACCUGAUGUAUCACAGUUAGGAGUCCCAAACAUGAUUUAUGCAAGGGGCCAAAUCAUGAAAGGCAUAAUAGAUCCUGACAGAAAAAUCUGAGACGCACAUGGACAUGCAUGAAAUUUCCAAAUAUAAUCCUAUGUCACAAAUGUAAAUCUCUAAAUGCACAGUCAAAUCUAAAUUACAGAGCUUGAACUUACUUUUCUGGAAGUUUUGAGGAAGGAUAAAUUUCACGCAAGAUCUUCACAACUUCAGAGUAGUGUACCACUCUUUCGACCAGGCAGUAUCGUCCACUAGCAGAUGGAUUUUCAAAAGCUAUAGUAUAUGUGCAUUAGCAACAUCUUUGACAUCAACCCAGCCCAUAGAAGAAUUUGGAAAUGUUUCUGCACCUGCAUUCAGCAUAGAAGAAAACAAUCAACAAAACAGACUGAUAAAUUAAAAAAACUAAAGGAAGAAAGAAAAUUACAUGAAGUAUUCAAUGACAGUCAAUACAUGAAUCAGUCUAAGAUUAGAAUGCACAGAAUAUCAAUCACACAAAAGAAAUGUUUCAUAUCACCAUCUCUUCUCUCUCUACAAAUGAACAUAAUCAAGCAAAGAGAAAAAUAGAAGGAAAAACAUUUGCUCAAAGCAUACCCAUGUCUAUACUGAUUACUUAAUAUUUCAUGUAUUUCAAUACUUGAUUAAGAAAGCAUCAGGAAUUCUAAACAAUGUAAAACAUCAUUACAAGGCAAUUGUAAAACAUCCCUUCAAGAAAACUAGCCAAUUGAAACAAACAUUUUCAAGAAACAAAAAAGAACCAAAAUUUUUCAACCAGAAAAGCAACAACAAAUAAAGAUCAACAAAAUGAGCAUAUACACAGACAUAUAUCAUUUUAGAAACACCUUCUGCUGCGCACAAAAACAUAUUAGACUCUAGUUAACCUCCAAAUGACCAUGACAUCUACCUUGGGAAACUCGACUUCAUGAGAGAAGCAGAAAGCUCAUGAAAGGCUUUGCAAUAUAGCAAAACUCCAUAUCACAUUAAUCUUAAGUACAUAAGUAGGCCACCUCAAGGGUGCUUUGGCCCUUUACAUAAAUUCUCAAGUUCAUUUCAAUUGAAUCAGAGAUUUAGAAGUUCUAUCUUGAUUAAAAUUGUCCCCACACUCUCAUAUAUAUCUAAGGCACUCCUUGUAGUUAGCUAACUAGUUGCUGGUAUGGUAAACUUUCACAGCAUGGAUACAUAAAACUCUACUAGGCCAUAGAAUGCUCAACCAAUAUUAUCAAAAGUACUCCGCUACUAUUAAUUAAUUAUUAUCCAGAAUGUUACCAUCACCUCUUUAUUUUUUAUGUGUUUUAAUUUUUUUUAUUCAACUUAGACUCAAAUGUAAGAAAAUAUGUUUUCUAGGCUGUAGAUAUGAGUAAGUAUAGGCAGAGAAAGUAAAGAUAAGUUAUACGGCUAAGUUAAAAACUCAGAAAAAAAAAAGGAAAAGAGAAAGAAGAAGAAGAAGAAGAACAAAAAAGUCAGUUUCUAUGUUCUGAGAACAUCUGUAUCUGCAUUAUUUUCACCACCAUCUGCAAAGUGGCAUCAUUAGCACCAUAAAGGUCAGCUUUAAAGCCUUUUUCCAAUCCACUCACUUGCCCUUAAAAGCAUAAUCAAGGAAUAAAAGAUCAAAAGAUGACCAACAGAAUAUCAUACACAUCUGUAACACCAAAAAAUAAAUAAGCACUGAUCCAACAAAAAGAACAUAUACCAAGAAAUUAAUUGAGUUCAUAAUUUCAUGAUGUCCAUACCGUUUAUUAAAUUCAAAAUUGCAGCAGCACUGGUGUUAAGUGUUGGCUGUAACAGAGGCCCAAUCACCAUAGCUGGGUUUAUCGUUACCAUGUCUAAACCUUUCUCUUUUACAAACUUCCAGGCAGCAUCCUCAGCCAAUGUCUUUGAGAGAACAUACCAUAACUGGAAGAAAAUAAUAAGAAAAAAUACCGGCAUCAAAUAUAAUGUUUAGUAUGAAUAUUAAAUCACACCAAAAGCCAUGUUAACUACUUGGACUGUCUAGCUAACAGUUACUCAAUUAUAUGUCUCUAUCAAUUUAGGAGGCAUCAUGAGCAAAUUGUCUUCAAAUCUCAUGAAAAUUUUAACUUGGGUUUCUCUGAUGAGUUUGUGCAGCACAGAGAACUGGUACUUGUCUAAAAUGCUUUAACAGGCCAGUGGUAAAAGAUGCUAUUCUGGUAUAGUAUUUGGACAUGAAAACAAAAUUACAACAGUUACUAAAUGGUAAUGGAAGAUAACCAAGUAAUUAUCUAAGACUAAUUCAUUAAUCAAUAAAAGCAUAUCAUUAGACAUACAAAAAAUUUCUUCCUUUACAUCUUGCCUUAAUAUUACAAUACCAUGCAGACACAAAUGGGACAAAAUGAGUGCACCAAUUAAAGCUCCAUUCAAGCAAACAUAGACUUGUCUGACAAGACAAUAUAACAUGACUAUAGCCAAAGCCAAGGUGAGGCAUUCAGCUGUAAUCUAGUUUCCAAGUUCCAUUCUAUGAAACCCAGAAUCCAGAAGAUGAGCGCUUUCUCUCCUUUCUUACAUAAAUUUUGUGGAACGCUUAUCGGAGUACUUCAAUUGAAAAAUUGUAAUAUUGAGCUUCUGGCAUCACAUAGUAUUAGUCUGGCAACCAUACAAGGACAGAAAUUUCAGGUAGUUAAUAAUCUGGGACACAAGUCCUUCAAUCAGGAAAAGGUUCCUUUCAACUAAAAGUUCGAAAAUUUAUGUAGACACUUUAGCCAUGGGUUCAAUGUCAACAUGCAUCAAGAAGCUAUUUUGAUACAAAGUGCAUGUUGUUAGAAGUAAUAAGGGUAUUUAGGCCAAUAAGUAAAUCUGUCUCUUCCUAGGGAUCUGAAUGAUAAGUUAUCACAGCUCUUCUAUUUUUGCUGUUCCCCCCUUUUCUCCCUUCUACUUCUUUCACAAUUCUCUAUUACUUUCCUGGUAUCAGAGCUAAAGAUGACAAAACAGUAGAUUUACCUUGUUGGGCAAAGUAAACAAUAGGAACUUCUUGUUCUGAUACAGAGAAAUAUAGGAGAAUGAUUCGAAGGGUUGAACUAGACAAUUAUUUCAUGGAAACAGGUACCUUUUUUAAUGCUUUAUACCAGUAUUGACUAAAGCAGAGGCAAAAUUAAGAUGCUUUAUACCAGCAUUCAUUGGUUUUUCUUCCUCUUUUUUAUGACAGGUACCCUUUCCUAUUGGAAUUAUCAAACCACCAGUAGAGAUGAUUGCUUUUUUAUUUAAGGAUGACAACUCCGGAGGAGAUCCAGAAAAAAUAUGGGAAACAUCGUCCAUUUCAAUCCUAUUCCUGUUAGCCAUCAGACAGAAAAAGCAUCUGAUCUGGCAAACUAAAUUUGGAACACUUUUUGGGAAAUGACAUUUAUAGUACAAUCCAAUAACUAUAACAACAGCAAAAACUAGGCCACUAGGAAAGAUAAUAAUAAGAAUUCCACACACAAAACGAGUUCUGAACUCUCUUCCUAUACAAACGUGAACCUUAAGCUCCCAAGCAGUGGGACGAACACAGGGCUCUGACUGUGUGCCUGUUUCUCAAUUGCAUUUACAUCAAAGAAGGUUCCCCCAAAAGAGGUUCCUUAAGUUAGUCAGUGUUCAUACGCAGAGAGAUAGAGAGAGAGAGAGGCCACCUCAAAUAUCUAAAACUUCUCGUUGAUGAUAUUCAAGACAUAGUGGAAGCAGCUAGAAGAGAGCAGUAAAAGUAAUUUUCAAUUACUUAUCCAUAACUAGGACACUAAAGUAGGGCAAAUGACCCUACCAUAAUGAGCUCAAAAUCACAAUGAUGGAAAAUCUAAACAGAGUUGAAUAAGGAACAUGUAUACAAUUGGAUGCUAAGGGUUAUAUAGAUUUACUUAUUUCAGGGUCUGGUUGUAAAAUUUACAGCUUUAGAUACUUAAAAAUUUGCUAUAACCUAGGGAAUCUGAAAAUCCUUUUUGGGUUUCCUCCAGAAAUUUCACCUUUUGGCUUUUCACUAGCUCAGCCUAAGUUACGUGUCUGGGAGUUUUGAUAUCUUUUAGUUCAUUUGUAGCUUACACGGUUCAGUUCUUCCUGUCAACAGAUUUUUCUGGUUCUAGACUGCCACCAUACGCUGCUCAGUUUUCAGUAAAAUCUUUAAUUAAUAGUAGUUUAUAGUGUGCCCAAGCUUAAUAUCAUCCAAUCGCCUAUCCUUUGGAGGGCAGAAAGAACACCCAACAUAGAACUGAAGAAAUUUUCCUCCAUCAUUUUUGAUUGGCCAUGUACCUUUUACACGGUUCAAGAAAACAGCCUGCCAUAACAGGUGAAAUAUCACCAAUUACCAAAUUCCUUGAAAUAUCCAUUUUUUGCUUUCACGUGUGUGCUUUGUCUCGAGACUUUUAAUUCCGAGGUUUAUACAAAAGUCACAGAUAUUAAUGCAUUAACUAGAUGUCCAGUUAACUACACCUCCAGUUAAAAUGGACAAUUGCAAACAGGAUGGAGUAAUUAUCCUGAAACCUUGACAAAUGAAUAUUGUGGCACCAGCCUUAAAUGUCUUAAGGUAAGAAUCCAUCAGAUGUCAUGAAAACACGGCCUUUUAUCAAUGGUUGUUAAAAGGUUUAAAAAGUAUCUGAUUUAAAGCAAAUAGACUCUCCAAUGCUGAAAGCGCCCUACAUCUCAACUUCUCAUAUAACAGAAAUAAAGAAACCACACAAGCAGAAUUGUUUCAGUUGAUGCAUAUUUGAAUAUUUUUCAGUGGCAUUAUGAUGUGAUACAUGUAAGCCUAUUUUAGUGACAUGCACUUUAUCUACAGAGAGUUUAUGAGCAUUUGCUACUCAAGUAUCUUAUAUUCUGAGCCAUAUCUAUAGUUUAGGCCAACAGGAAAGUAAAACAAAAGCUUAUGGAACACAGUGCAAUGGUGUUUGCUAUACAUGACAGCAGACAUGCCAGUAUAUCAAGAGUAAUUGUUUAAGUUCAUGCAAGAGAAAGUGACAUUUACAGACCUUCGUUUGCUUGCAAAAUUCAGGAAGAGACCACCAAGUCUCAUCAACCACCACGUCUGGAGUACGAGGCUUGCCGUUGAAGGCAACUGCAGCUAUAGAGGAUGUUAAACCACUCUUUUAACAGAUGGAGAUUUUGCACAUGAUCCCAGAACAUUAAGAGUCCCUUUUAGAGCAGGAUCAAUCAAUUCAGCCUGUCAACAAAGAAUUCCUUAUGGUGACUCACAGCCAUAACAAAUCACUCACCUUGCUAAGAUGAAGUAAUAGAAAACCCAUUAGCAGAGAUAUUUAAAUUUAAAAAAAAAACUAACUUCAAUUUCAAGGAAUAGUGCUAAUUUGAUACUUAAUUCAUUAACCAUGCAAUAAGUCAAGAGGACAAAGGGCUCAUUAACCAUGCAAUAAGUCAAGAGGACAAAAGGCUCAACAGUAAGUGAGGCUCCUUUAGCAAAUAUACCCUGCUUCUAUCAGGGUUUAAGAAAGAUUUGCACCAGUUAAAACAAUUAUUCGUCUACUUUUAGGUCGGACAAUGGUUUCACAUAACUUAAAAUAAGGACUACUAAUAAAGUUAAUACAAGCAACACGGUGUUUACUUUUGAGUCCACAUAUAUGAAUUGGUCAACAGACAUUUUGCAGACAUCAAAUAUUGGUUUUCACCUCAAAGUCAUCACCUACAGAGUUGACAUACUGAAGGAAAACUCAAGACAAAGACAUUUAAAAUUAGCUUCUGCCAAAAUGAAGCUCUUCAAGCAUACUUGUAUGUCUGAUAUUAACAUUUCCUUAGCAUGGCACUUCUAUUUAUUUGCAUUUUGGCCCUUCUUGAGGUAUCUAUUAGCUUUCAAAAAAUACAAGAGCCCUGAAGCUACAAUUUAACUGCCAGCCCAGCAAUACCCAUUCGGUAACAAGUUCCAAGCCUAAGUUCAUACUUACUACGAAUUAGUUCAAAGAAAAAUUCCUCUUAAAAGAAUACAGCAGACAUGCUUUCAAUCCUUAGUCAAAUAAGGGACGAUCUGAACAUAGGGCUGAACAUGAUUUGAAAGCAAACUCAAUGAAUAGAAAGAGUCAACAGUACAACAGACAGCACUGAAGUGUUGCCUACAUGACAUGGAAAAACAUUGCUAAUUGACUGAAGUCAGCAAGGGAAGGCUCUGAAAGACUAUCUGGGGUAUCCUGUGGUUAUGGUACAAAUGAGUCCAAUCAAGGGAAGGGAGAGAGAGAGAUCACCCAAUGCAUAGAACCUGUACCCUUAGAACAUCAAGGCAGCACACUAAGCAGUUCAUGGAACUACCCACCACCUCUUUUUUAGCUUCCCUCAAAUAGCUUGAGCAUCUUUGAGAUCGACAAUCAUACAUUUCUCAACGACGCAUCAACUGUUACUUAUUUCUUGUUUUAAAUAGACAGACAGAACAAAUUAGGGCCAUAGACAUGCAUUAGUUUGGUGAAGCAAGGAACCAUAUCGAGUAUCUUCUUUUGUAAGAUAAGUAGGAUGCUCUUUUCUCUUUUCCUAAAUGUUGAAAAGGAGAUUGAUGACAACAGUUAGCACCAUCUAACCAGCUGCCCAAAAAAAAAAAAAAGGAUGGCUUCAAAAAAAAGUUAUUUACCUAAAAGCAGAGAACACAAUAUUGAAACUAUACUGAAAAGGGUGCAACAAAUGAGUAAUUUCAAAUGUGCAUACAGAAAAAGAGAGAAGAUUUUCGAAAAACUGCACAAAUGUAAAAGAUAACAAGAAAAAGCACUGAAGUAGCAUACAUUUGACCAAAUUUUUGUCACUGAAGAAUUUAUUAGACUUUAGAGUCAUCAUUCCUGAACCCUCAUAAGUCAAAUUCUGGAAUUCUAACACUAAAUGAGCAACCCUCACAGAUUGACAAGAUUGCCUGCUCGGAUUAAUCAUGUCAGAAAACAUAACCUACUCAAUAUUCACAAAUUGUAUGUCCCUUCCUGGUCAGAGUGUUAAUAUCCAAACUCCCAGCAGAACAAACCUCAGAUGUUCUCAAAAUUGAUAUUUUGAAUCCUAGCAGCCAGCAAUUUUAAAUUCAGUAUUGAGCUUCUGAGGGCAUCUAAUGAGUGAAGAACUCAGUCCCAAGCUUCUUUCUAGAAAAGCUAAUGUCUUUAUACUAAGAUUUUAUACUUCAUACUCAACUACAACUGGCUAUCUUCCUUGGUAUUGAGCUUCUGCUGGUGUCUGAUGAUUAAAGACCUUAGUCCCAGUCUUUUUUGUGGAAAAAGUAACUUCAAUAAACCAAGAUUUUCUACUUCAUAUCCAACUACAACCGGGAAUUUUCUUGAGUCCUUUCUCCCUAAUUUUGAGCCUCAAAAGUGAAACAUCCAACCAUUUAUUUGCAGCAGCAUAGAUGUCUGAUAACAACACAUAAUUCCCAGCAUUUAAGGGCUCAAGCUCAAUUAGUCUACAUGCUACCUCCUCCCCCAAUUCAAGGUCACAAUGAAGCUUGCAAGCGCCAAGAAGUGCACCCCAAGCACCAGCAUGAGGCUUUACGGGCAUUGACUUAAGAAUGUCGUAAGCAUCUUUAAGCUUUCCUGAUCGACCAAGAAGGUCAAUGAGGCAUGCAUACUGAUCCGGAGAAGGCUCAAGAGAGAAUUCAUUAACCAUAGAGUCAAAAUAAUGGCAACCUUCCUUAAUGAGACCAGCAUGACUGCAAGCUGUUAGAAUUACCGUAAAGGCUGUAGUAUCAGGCACAAGUCCUUCCUUUAGCAUCCUUUCAAACAGUGCCACAGCCUGUGGACCACUCCCAUGAAUGGAUAGACCCUGUAUCAUUGAGCAGUAUGAGAUCACAUCAUGCGUGGGCAUUUGCUCAAACAAGGUUGAUGCUCUGUCCAUGUUCCCACACUUGGCAUUCAUAUCUAUGAGAGCUGCAGCAACUUGAACACGCUUGAGAUCAAAUGAGCUUUGAUGCAUAUAAGAAUCAAUUAUUUUUGCUAAUUCCAAACAACCCAAUUGGGAACAAGCAGACAUCAAGCUCACCAUAGUGAACUCAUCCGAUUUGACGCUCCUACACUGCAUCCUGUAAAACAUCUGUAUCGCCUCGCUGGGCUGUCCAUUCUGGGCAUACCCGGAUAUCAAGGCAGACCAGGAUACAAUAUCUUUUUCAUCUGAUUGCUCGAAUAACAUUCUUGCAGACACCAUGGCACCGGCCUUGGCAUACCCAUUAAUCAUAGUGGUAUAGGAAAUUGCAUUCUUCACGGGCAUCUCAUUGAAUAAUUCCCUAGCACUCCUCAAAUCACUGAAUCUAACAAAGCCACUAAUCAUCGCAUUCCAGGAUGCUAAAUUCCUAUUAGUCAUUUUAUCAAACAAGUUCUUCGCCUCCAAUGCCUCUCCGACAUUCAGAUAGCCAACAAGCAUAGCCGUCCAAGAGACUUCGUUUCUAACGGGCAUAAUAUCAAACAUCUUCCGGGAGCACUCGAUCUCCUUGCACUUGCCAUAGAAGUCAACUAAGCUGGAACCCACGUACACAUCAGUUUCAAUACCACACCUUACUAUUGACCCGUGGAGAAUCCGCCCUUCCCUCAAUGCCAAAACAUUAGCACACUUGUUGAUCAACGGCGGGAAAGUAUACUUAUCCGGGCUUGCAUUCGUAGACUUUUUCAUCCGAUUGAAAAGCGAAAAUGAAUUGACCAAAGAGGAAUGUCUACAGUAGCCCUUGAGUAGGGUGUUCCAAAGAUAAAUAUUAGGCUGAAUGGCGCGUUCGAAAACAGCGGUAGGGUAGGAGAGGUCAGAAGAGAGAGCGAUGCAGAGGGACAGAAAUUGGGUAAUCAAAAAGGGAUCCUGCUCGCAGCCCUUGUGGAUGAUGUGAGGGUGGACUUGCUCUAAGCUUCGGAUGGUCUUGCACCGUUUUAAAAGUGAUAAGAUUGAUGCCGUAUAAGCAGAUGAUAAUGUUGAUGGUAAGGGGUCGAGACAAGCGGAUGAGUAUCGGCGGAUCAAAUUCAUAUGAGCAUCGGUUGUGACUUUGUGAAUCAUAGUGGCGGAACAGCCGAGCAGACAGUGCUGGAGCUGCAGUGUCAGGAUCCUGAUGGACCAGUUUUGGAAUUGGGAGGGAAAUUAGAAAAGUAGAAGAAGAAGAUUCAGAGAAUUGCAAUGUUUUAAAACCCGGACCGUCAAUUGAACCUGUGAAGUGAAAGGGUCGAGGUUCAACCGGUCGGACCGGUUCAACCCCAGUUCAAUAAAUAAAUAAACAAAUAAAUAUAUAUAUAUAUAUAUAUAUAUAUAUAGACACACACCUAUGCACAGAACAAGAUAUAAAUGCUAAACCACAAUUAACAUAAGAGCAAUAUCAAACAAUUAACACACACACAAUUAACAUAGUUAUCAAACUUAAGACUAUUCGUUUGUGGUUUUUACUCCUGCAAUGCAACCGAAGUAAAUAUCUUCUGUUUGUGGUUUUGUUCUUGAUAAUCUACACACGUAUUGAAAAUACUCCUAUUUACUUGUUUGUCCUUGAAAGAAUUUUUGACAAUUUUCUCAAAGAUAAGCUAAAAAAGAAAGCAAAUAGCCAUCUGUCCCAUGUUUCUUUGGUUUAAGACUUGCAUCCGUUUUUGGGUGUGUUGGCUUCAAAUGACAUCAGAAAAAGGAUACCCCUUUUUGAAAAAACUAGCAGAAGAGCACCGUGCGCAAUUUAAGUGAUGCGCACAAUGAGUUGAUAUUCAUGUAAUUUAUGGAUUUUUGUGUUUUGUAUAAUUAGGGGUGCAAACGAGCCGAACCGAGUCAAACAUUGAACUUAUCGAGUCAGGCUUGAUUACUGUACACGAGCUCGAGAAAAUUGAGCUCGAGCUCGACUCGAAUAAGUAAGAAGCUGGCUCAAGUUCGACUCAAUAAGGCUUGAUUUACUCAACUCAACAAGAGCUCAAAUUGGCUCGAAAAUUUCUGUCACUAAGCACAUAAUUUUUAAACGCAAUCCAUCCAGCUUGCAUUUUCUAACAGGACAAGCUAAAAAUUACCCCAGAAUGAGAAAAUAAAAAGUGAACAAUCAAAAACUACAAACCAAAAAUAUUUCAAUCAAACAGAAGGUAUAUUCCAUGAAAAUGUAUGUAAGAAGUUAAGAAAAGAAACCCAAUAUUCUUACCAAUCUUCAAAAAACAGUCCCUAAUAAUAAUAACAGAUCCAAAUUCAAAAAAAAAAGGAGAAAAAGUACAUUGACAGAAAGCCUUCUUCCAAUCAAUAAUCAGUACAAUCUCAAUUCACCGAUCAUGAUAUAGAAAACAAUUCAAUACAUGCGAAAGUCCAAAUAAAUUCUAAAUAAAUUGAGAGAAAUUGGGGAUCGAAAUGGGAAAGAAGAGGCGAUCUAAUUCUAACGAAAGCUCUGUCGCCAUUAACAGGAAAGAGGAAAUUAAUCAGGGAAGAAGAGAAAGGGCAACCUGUUCGCUUUGCCUGUUCGCGAGGCCCUCCACCAAUAGAGCUGAUGAAAUGGGCGUUGGAGAGGGCGGCAGUGGUGGGAGUCGGAGAUUGUUCGCUUUGCCUACCGUAGCUUCUAACUGGGAGUCGGAGAGAAAUGGCGGCAGUGGUGGCAGAAGUGGCCAACAAACUGGGAGUCGGAAAGAAAGGGCUCUUCAAUUGAAGGCCGGCAGUGGUGGUGGCAGAAGUGGCUUGAGCCUUGAAGACAGUGGUAGCGGCGGCUACGGCUUGCUUUUGAUUUGGGGAAAGAAGAAUGCCGACAGCAGAAUAGCCGAGUGGGAAGAAGGAGAUGUGUUUGUGACUUUGGGUCCACCGUCCUCCACUGUCUUGGUCCUUGGAGAAAUUUUGUUAUCUAGUUUCUAAUUAGUAAUUAGUUAUAUAAGUAGAGAUAUUUAUGUAAUUUCCUACUGCUCGUGAGCCGCUCGGACUUUCAUACACAUGACUCGAACUCGACUCGUGUUAUAAACGAGCUGCUCGAGCUCGACUCGAACGUUGACCGAGCUGCUCGCGCGAGCAGAUCAAUUCGUUUGUAUCCCUAUGUAUAAUGAAUGCAACUAAGGUGAUAUAAUUAUUAAAUAUAUAAUAAAUAGGGUUUCAAAUCUUUAGGGCUAAUACAUGGAACUACGGCGGUAUAGUACUAUAGUGUCAUAAUAAAAAAGAGUGAAUGGCAUAGUAAUGGAUAAGAAGGAGUUUCAUUAAAAAGGAUGCAAAUUUCAUCUGUGCGGAUAUUAUUUUUUGGAUGGAGAUACUUAUUAAAUCAUUUGUUGAAAUGAGGUAUAAAAAUUGGAUUAGUUAUUUUGUAAUAUAUAUUUGGAUUUACUAAUAUGCGUAUUUGGUUAUGCCUAUAUGUAUAUUGUGUGGGUCAGAAUAAUUGGAUAUUUGAUUUAUAUUUAAUUUCUAAAUUUUGUUUGAAAGAACUAUAAGGGAAGAACUAAAUUUACACACUUAUAUACUAAAUCCACAUUCUAUCGGCUUAUUAUAUAAAGACUUUUAAAGUAUUUAAUUAGUUGUUCACAUAACAGAAAGAAGAAUAGUAUUAUGUUUUCUUGCAUCGGGAUACUCAGUUCAUGCGCGCAUCAAUAGCUACUAAUUAGUAACUACUUUAAAAAAAAGAAAACUUUGGGUAAAAAAAGAGAAUAAAAGAAGGGAAAAAAAGGGAAGAAGGGAAAAAAAGGGAAAGGAUACUCUAUUAUAAUAAUAACUAUAAAAAAAGGGAAAGGAUACUCUAUUAUACAGUAUCCUUUCCCUUUUUUUCCCUUCUUUUAUUCUCUUUUUUUACCCAAAGUUUUCUUUUUUUUUAAGUAGUUACUAAUUAGUAGCUAUUGAUGCGUGCAUGAACUGAGUAUCCCGAUGCAAGAAAACAUAAUAAAGAAAAUACUGUAAAAAAAGCAAUAUUAUAAAAAAGCAACAACCUUGUAAAAAAAGAAAAUACUGUAGUUUAAAAAAAAAAGAAAUCGGCAAGUGUUUUUCUUUCCCUAGAAAUACUUAAUUUCUACAGCGUUAUUUUUCAUUAAUUAGCUACUAAUAAAGAAAAAGCGAAGAAACAACAUAACAACACAAUUUUAUAUUCUACUAUAAUAAUAGUAUUAUUAUUGUUGAAAAAAACGGCAACUUUGGGAAAAUUACUGUAAGUGAAAAAAUAUCGUUAGUAUAAAAAAAUGUAAGCCUGGGAUUUGAAUUUAGGAAACUUAAUUCCUGCAGCCUUAUCAAUAACUACUAAUUAAUAACAAUUUAUUAAACACAACAGCACUAUUCCAUAAUCUACUAUAGUAAUAUUAUUAUUAGUAUAAAGAAACUGAAACCCUAGGAAAAUAACAAAUAUUUUAAGUAAAAAAAAAAAAGAAAAAAAAUUGGCAUUGGAUUCGACGUCAAGUUAGCUAAUUUAUGUGACAUUAUCAGCAAGUAUUAAAAAAAAUAAUAACCACUUAAAAAAAAAGAAGAAGGAAACAAUGUGAUGGAAAGAAAACACCAAAUAUUGUUAGUACCAAAAAAAAAUAAAAAGUAAGCAUGGCAUUUGAAUUCUGGAGAGUUAAUUCCAGCAGCCUUAUCAAUAACUACUAAUUAAUAACUAUUUAUAAAAAAUUGUUAGCUAAAAAAAAAAAGAGUAGACAUGGGAUUUGAAUUUCAGAAUGCUUAAUUCCUAAGAUUGAGUAAAAGAAAGGGGAAAAAAAAGGAAAGGAAAUAUAAAAAUAGCAAUCUUGGGAUAAAAAUUAAGGAUGAUGUUAGAACCAAACCUUAUAUUAUAUUAUAAAAAUUAAGGAUGAUGUUAUCUAAUAGUGUGAUAUAUUGUUGAAACCAAAAACUUGAUAAUCCAAGAAACACAUAAUUUAGAUGAAAAUGAUAGAACUCUCAUAGAAAACAAAUACAACAAAGGAAUGAUCAAAUAAGUAAAGAGACCAAUCAAUCUUUAGGCCAUUGUUGCUGCUCUCUAUACAUUUGCGUGAGCAUUGUUUAUUUUACUUCUACCAUGAAUGACAAAGCCUUGACCGCAGAUGUGCAGAUACUUGGAGCCUGCUUCAAAAGAUAUAUUUUGGAUUUGUUACUAGGCAGAUUGUUUACCAUUAAGAUUCUAGCUCUUUUUCCAUUCGGUUUUACAACGUAUUUUUUACCAUUAUUAAGUUCAAAAAGAUUAUAAUUCCUUUUUCAUUAGAUUUUUUGACAAUUUUAUUUUUAUUAUUUUUUUUGGAUUGUUAUUGGAUCACAUAUUUCUCAUGUAUUCAUAUAUACAUAUAGUGCAUCAAGAGAUAAGUGAUGUAGCAGUAUAUCAUAAUACUUGCUUUCAUAUCAUAGUUACUAUUUUUGAAUUAACAUCAAUUUGAGUAGCAAUUGUUCUUUAACUGAGCGAAUUUAAAAAAUUGAAGCAGUUCGGGUUUUGUUAACCGCCUGUACCAGUGUGGAUUUAUCACCAUCUUUGGUGCUUCUCUUUGUGCACGCUUCCAUUGUCAUGCUUGAAGGCUGGAAACAAAGGAAAAAUGGAGACUUUAAGCAGGGAUUCUCUUUAAGAAUUGAGAAAAUAAAAGACCCACAAAAGAAAGACAACUAUAAAUCACACUUAGCAACUAUAAUCUUCUCCACGUCACAAUAUAAGAGAUUGAAAAUUCCUGGAAAGUUCUAAUAUUUUGCCAACUUCAUAAAAAUCAUAAAAGGCUUGUUGCCUAGAGAAAGGUCCUGUUUAUCAAGUGAUGCUAAAGCCAGCCAAAAUCCUUUCAAUUCAAAGAACUAUGAAACAACAUUAAAAAAAUAAAAUUUAAAAAAAUUCCAGGUUUAGAAACAUUAUUAUCAGCGGACCAGCUCAGUUAGAUUAUAACAAACGGUUUGAAUAGAUUCAUUAGGCAUCUCAAAAAACUGAUGGAAUUUCAAAAAAAGAUUCAACGGUCAAAAGGGUAAGAAGCAUCCAUUAAUCAACCUAAACAGUACAAUAAUACAAUCCCAUAAUUUACUGCAAAAAUAAAUGUUAGAGCUCUCUUGGAGCAUCUGAGAGUGACAAAUAUCAGCAAAAGGCAAUAUUAUGUUAUCUUCAGAAAAUGACAUCAAAAGUAAUCUCCAAGUAUCAUAAAUGUUCCCCAGCAUAGAAUAGACUAUUCUUGGAUGAGUUAUACUAUAAUAUACAGGUAAGACACAAGAUGCAAGUAUCUUAGGGAAGGAAUUCCAUUGACUUCUCAAGCAUGCUACUCUUACUUAUAGCAAUAUGGUAAUGCAAAUAUAGCUAUUUUAUUAGUUCCAUUUUUCUAUAUGGUUAGACAGAAUCAAUAAUCAGAGACUCAUGGCACUUAAAAACAGGAGUUGCAAACAUAUUUUUUAAGCUUGCACAGAUUUUGUUUAAUCAAUCGCAAAUUGCCAAUGGCUUAAAUGGAUGUUCAAACAUCUAGGCAUUAACGCAAGGCAAAUAUUAAAACACUAAAUAAGUAGAUCAUUUACCAUGAAUUAAUUCCCGUUACCUGCCUAAAACAACUCUAACAAUUUUAGUCCAUCCAUUGCCAAGUAUAUUCCACGCCUGCAUACGAUUUCUAAAUUUCAGAUUAUCCCAUCCAAUAAGAAAAAAUUUGACCAUCCAAAUUGAAACAAUCAGAUCAGUAAAAUUAUGCUAGUCCUUGUAAUUUAGUGAAAAUUGACAUAGGGUUGAAAGCAAUUGGUUAGCUUGUACAGUUCAGAUUCAUGAAAUAUAUAACUAAGAAGUUUUACCAAGAGAUUUAUUGCAUUUUGUACUACUAAACUGUACCAUGAAAGCCAGCCAAAAGGUACGAAGAAGGGAAGAAAAAAGCUCCAUUGACAAUAAAAAAAAACCUCUUGAAUGGCAGGAAAGAAGAGAAGAAAAGCCAUUUUGGUGGUGAACUAACUUUAAUAUAAUUUAUAUUAUAUCCUCAAAAUGUCAUCCUAUCAGAUACACAAGCCAAUCCCCUCAGAACAAAAUUAGCAAAAUUUUAAUGAAAAACUUGUACUCUAGCAAAAGAAAAAUGAAAAGGCAAAAUUUAUGCAAAGACAUGAGGAAAAGGCACUUAGAAACAAUAAUCUAAAAUAAUGGAAAUCCUUGAUGACUUACAAUGCUUUGGUCAUUUGUGGCUGGAAACCCAGCAACUAAAUACACACAAAACUAUCAAAAACAGAUCCAACAUUUAAUGGCAUAGAGAUGCAAAGCAAAUAAAGAAAUCAGGCAUUCUCCUUAAUGAAUGGAAAAGGAAGCUCAUGAAAGAGCAUCCAAGUAAUGAAUAACCAGGAAAAUCACAAUCAAAACUUGAUUAAAAAAUAUAAAAAAUCACAGUGCAUUAAAGUAAACUUUUUAUUAGUGCAUGAAAUAAAAUAUACCAUAUCUUAGAGCAUUGCAGCAAUGUUGAAGAGGAAAAAGCCCAACUUUCUCCACCUGCAAUCACAAAAAAAAAGUAAAUUUUAGAUGAGUAAAAGGGGAAGAAAACAAUGAAGAGAAAAUCAAAUAUACAAAAAAAAAAAGUUCACAAUGCAUAAGCAGCGACUUUUGAACUAUCGAUAGAUGAUAACGAUCAUGAUGUCUGCAAAACACGACACAGAAACUAUUAGACACCCAAUUUCCAAAUUGAAAGUAUCUAGGUUCUUAACCUUCCCCAUUGGAGAAAUUUAUCAAAUAACACAAUCAUCCACAAUGUUAAAACAGUUAGGCAGAUAAAAUAUUGAGAAAUUUAUCCGAAUAAUAAAAAAUAAUUGCACAGCAAAAACAUAGUGAGGCAAACAAAAGAUUAAACAGAUUACACCAAUUACUCCAACAUCGUAACUCGUUAGAUUCAGUUCCACUGCCAGCUUAACAUAAACUUUCACAUUAUCAACUGAAUUUCAGAAACAUUCAAUUGAACUUGCUCCAAUCAAUAAAGUGAAAAAUUCAUGCUUUUAAAAUUUCAAUUGCCCUGUUUCCCGUAACUACUACAUCCAACCAUCCAACCUAAGCAAAAAUUUUCAGCUUUCAACACCCAAUUUGAUGACAUCAACAAUUAGUAAUAUAGGAAACAUCUCUUUAUAGUUAUUGUAGAAAUAGCUAUGGAAUUUGAUUAAAACUUAAAUCAUAAAGAGGGAAAAUGGGAUAAGUAGGAGGCGUAGUAGUAAAAGUAAAGAUUAAAAAACCCCAAGUUUUGGAGUUUAAAAAAAAAAGGGGACAAAUCAAGGGCAAAAAAAAAUAGCACUGAUAUAAAAGACAAAGUAUUACCUCUUCAUGUGCUAAUUCCACUGUCAAAGUUUAUGAGCAGGAAGGCGGAAACACCCAAAUGGAUUUUGUGGUUCACUGGCAUAUCAUUAAUAUAACACAUCAUAAAAAAUGAAAGAUAAAGUAAUAAUACGGAUUUCUUUUUACUUCUAGCCAAAACAAACGGAAAACAUUAGACACAAAAAAAUAAAAGAAACAAAAUAAGGGUUUUCUAACAAAAAAUAAAAGAGAAAUAUUCAAUAACAAUAAAAUGGAACAAAAUAAGAAAAUUUCAACAAAAACAACCAUGCAACAGUCAGAAACUUGUGAAUGGGAAACAGGAGAUGAAUCUGAGGAAGAAGAGUACAAUGGGGAACAGAGGUCUUCUAGAAGUGCAAAAAAAAUUUUAAAAAAAUUUAAUGCAAAUCUGCAAAGAAAAAAAGAUUACCUUAUUAGUCUUGCUGCUUGAGGAAGAGGAAGAUGACAGAGGAAAAGAAAAAGAGAGAGAAUGACGAAAAAAGGAAGAAAUGAAAAGAGAACCAGAAGAGACUGAGGGGGAAGAGAGAGAUAAAAGCACAUGUUUUCCAGCACAGGGUUUCAGGUGGUUUGGAAAAUAAAAGGGAACGAAACCGGUACAAGAAUUCCAGGACCAACAAGUCAACAACCACGGUGCACGUGAUUUCCACAUGAAGAAGGACGAAAGACCAACAACAAAUUCCACCACCCAUUCCCACUUUAUAUAUAAGUUCUUUAUAGUACAAUACUACAAAGUUAAAAAAUUGCAGGCCAUACUCAAUGCUGUAUGUUGUUGAUGUGCAAGGAGGCACCAUGAACUUAACCAACCUUAAUGCUGAAGUUUAUUUCCAUCUGUCAUGUUAAUGAAGGCAGGACAGCUAUUGAUCUAUUAUUAGAAGGAGAAAAGGGAACUCUACACUUGUUUGCACCACCAAAAAACAAAUAGAAGUUGAAGUUCAGAUGGGUCAUAGUAGUUCAGUAGCAAAAUGGUACUUGAAUUCAUUUAUAAUCCUAAAUUUCAAGGCGAGUCAUAAUUCCAAUCAGGUCAAGCGGAGUUAAACAUAUGACAGGCAAAAUAACUACUUCAUACUUUAUUCAUCAAGAAUCAGCACAACACAUCAGAAUGUAUCAUUUUAGGAAUUCCAAAAUAGGGCAUUGCGUGGAUAUAUGAGCUUGGAAAAACCAACAAUAUGUUUAUUCAGUAAGAAUUGUUAGCCUAAUAUGGUCCUAUUCUCUGCACAAUAAAGGAAAACUAAGUGAGCAGAGUUGCAGAGAGUAACGGAAUUUUCCAACAAGUAUCCCUCUAUAAGGUUUAGCAACUUCAUUCUAGCUCCCUCUGCGGAAUAUUCUAGCUCGCUCUUAGGCAACAAAUUCUCAUUUCGAAAGAAAUUCUGCAUCCAGGGUAUAAAAGUUAAAAUCCCCAAAUUUAACUUCUACACAUUUGGAAAUUAGCAAUUUAGUGGAAAAUAAAAGAACUUUGUAAAUCUGUUAUGCAAGAAUUGCUCUUCUUAUCGUCAAAGCAACCAAAGCGUAAUUCCAGAGAUUAAUGAACAACGAAAGGGAAAAAAGAUUAAUGAACCUGGUAUAAGCUUGAAUUCCAGAGAGUUCGGAAUAAGCGUGUGACGGCAAAAAACUUCAGGCUUCGGUGCUUCCUUUUUACUGAUUGCAGAGACGACAAAUAGAGACGGCACUCGGCACUCGGCGCUCGGCAGGCAAGGCAAGGCAAUUGCAGAGAGAGGAAGCGGACUGAAGUGAAGAGGCAAUUUCGGCAAUUGACUACAGCAGGCAAGGCAAUUUAGGCAAUUGCAGAGAGAGGAAGCGGACUGAAGUGAAGAGGAAGACUGAAGUGAAGAUUAGGGUUCAGAGUCUUUAGACACUUUCGGUCAAAAAUGGAAAUUUUGUCAAAUUUUACUCAAAAAUUGGAAAACCACGGUUCACGGUUUGAGUCGGUUUAAUGGUUUGAACGGUUUUUUAACGAGUUUGACCGGUUCUUGAUCCAAGUCAACUUAAGUUAUGAACCGGACCGGACACAUGACCGGUUCGCGAUCGAACAGAUCGAACCGGCCAAUCUGAUCCGGGUUUAAAAACAUUGGGUACAGUCGGUUAGUUCAGAUACAUUGUUGCUCAUUGGUGCGCAUCGAUUUCCUUUGUCAAUCAUAAAAAGCAAUUGGAUUCUGACAACUGAAGUUGGUGGUGGGCCGCUAGAAUCUCCAAUGAACCAACAAGUUCCGUAGACAAAAGCUCAUGUGUCAUUUGAAUAUGACUUGAAUUAUUAUAUUUAAUUAUUAUUAUUAGUUUGCUUGUUAGUUGCUUACAUUUGAUUUAAAAGAUUACUAUUACAUCAAUAGUUUAUUACAUUUAAUUAGUGUUAAUUUAUUACAUUUGAUUAGUAUUUGAAUUAGUUUAAUUAGCAAUAAUUUAUUAAUUAAUAGUGUUAUUAGUAUUAAUUGUAUUAUAUUUUCCUGUUCAGUACAAGUACUAUUUAGUACAUGUUAUUGCAUCUUCUUGUUUAGGAUUUACAAGUAUUUAAGGUUUCUGUUGCUAUUUAGUGCAAGUAGUUACUAUUAAUUAUAUUUAAUAUCUUCUUGUUUAGGAUCGAUUGAUUGAAUGUCAUACGAGAAAUAGUACCACCACAAAGCAAUAAUACAAGUACUAUUUAGCAAAUAGUAAUAGUAACAGUAAAAGUAAACAGUACUAACAAAAAUAACAGUAGUAAAUAUUAACCAUAAAGAAAAGUCACGGUAAUAAUAAUAAUAAAGUAAAUAGUAAUAUUACAAAAAAAUGGUUAAUAAUAGAAAGGCAAAUGGUGAAUAGUAAAAGUUAAUAGUAAAAGUAAUUACUCAGUAAUAGUAAUAGUAAACAAAAAAUUGUGAUAAAUGUUUCAUUAAUAAAAAAGUAGUAAGUAGUAGUAAUUACUUAGUAAUAGUAAUACUAGGAAUAGUGAAUAAAAAAUAGUAAUAAAUAUUUCAUUAAUACUAAUUAGGAAUCAUUAAAUUAUAACAUAGUAAUAGCAUAAGUUACCGUUAAUUUUAUGUUUAAGGACAAAUUUGUGCUUGUCUAAUUAUUAUGUUACUUAUUACUAGUGAAUAAUAAUUUGUGAUUGUUUUAUUAUGGUUGUGAUUAAUUUAGUAUAGUUAAUGUAAAUUCAUGUUUGGAAUCACGUAAGCGCUUGAUUCUAAAAUAAAUAAUAUUCACAACAUUAGGUAAAAAAUGUCAACAUACCUUGCAUUGGUGAUUCAGUUUUAUUGGAGAGACAAAAUAGUGGAGACCUGAGAAUCACUUUCAUAUGAUCCACUGAGGUGCAAAACGAUAUUAGUGAAAGAUCAAAUAGAUUACUAUGGGUUGGUUGAUAGUAUACACCUACAUAAGACUAGAUCAAACUGUGCUCAAUUUGAAUCUAUGGUUUAGGAAUUUAGUAGGCCAAGUACCAUUGCGGAACUAUGCUUGGAUAUGAAGAAGACAUGGAUAUGAUGUACCAUAUGAAAAUGACAUCACCUCACAUAGCAUGUGAGAUAUACAUAGAGGUGAAGUCACAGUUCCAACAUGACCACGAUAAUGUCAAUGUUGGAAAACCUCAUUUGUCCAAGGCGAUCCCCAAGUGGAGUUAGACCAUAUGCUCCCAGCCAUCUCUUAUCGUGGUUGUAUGCUAGUAAAAUCGGAGUCCACAUCCAUGAUAGAUGAUGAUUGAAAUCGUGGAAGGGUCAUAUAAGUCGAAAGCAUGAGCGGGGCAGAAGUAACUGGGACAGUAGUUCUAGGGCAAAAUUAUCUUUAGUGCAAAUCCACCUAACUUCCUCUCUAUCGAAUAUACAGGAAAACAAGGGUGUUGAUGUAGAUCCUGACACCGAACCGGAACCUGAUGGCGAUAACUCCGGCGAUACUGAUGAUGAACAUGAUGGAGUCGGCCAACAAGAGUUCAAGCUUGGAUGCGGCUAAUGCUUUAAUCUUAGCAUGCAUGUGGUAUUUCAAUAGAUUUAAACAAGAAAAUUUGGUGAUUUCGGAAGAAAGUUAAAGAGUGUAAAUUCUGAAAAUUUUCACAGCCCUAGACCCGAAACUUGAAGCUGAGUUUUCAUAGCUUAUAGUUUUGAAUUUUGGUAUAUCUUUGAUACAUUAUUGCUUUAAAUAUGCUUUGCUUCAUAUAUCUUAGGUUGUAUGUUGAAUUUCUUAGAUUAAAAAUGAGAAACGUGUGAGAUUCAUAAGAAAAGUGGGCUGAUUCGUUUCACUGAAACUUGAAUAUAGUUUAGCUUUCUUUUCGCUAUAAUUGAUGAUUGGAAAUUAGCAUGCAAGUAGGAAUUUUCUCCUAGGUUUUAUACCAAAUAAAUAGAUAAAUAAUUGUGGUAUUUGUAACUUGUCUCAGGAGUGAGCAAGAGGGUGACCCCAAAGCCGAAGUGUGAUUUUUCACUUAGCGUAAGUGUUCCUUAUGUGCAUUUAUGAUUAAAUGUCUCUACUGGAUUAGUACUUGUUGUUUACUUGUUUGCUUGGUGAUUGUUGAAAAGUAUUGAUGGGAAUUGUUAGAUAUAUCUUAUUGAUUUGUUAAGACUUGAGUUAUCUACGGCAUUACUGUUGAUAGAUGAGUGCGUACUUUAUAACACUCGAACUAAUUGAACUUGAGAUUUCUAUGGUCUUAACUACUGGAAUAAAUGUUCAUGAUUGUAAGCAUACGUGUACUUAAUCGCAUCAGCUGGAUUGGACCCUAAAACCCAUCAUCAGUUGGCAUAUUUAAGUCAGCAAUGGGUUUGGUCGGGUAGGUUAGGAACCUUGAGUAAAUGCGAAUAUUACCUUGUAGUAUGGUGAUUAUUGAAAUGAAUAUUGAUUGAAGGAAAUUGUUUAUUGUUUUAGAGGAUAUAAGGGGUGAUUGCUGCAGUGAUAUCGUGUUGAUAUUGGUCCCUAACUUUUGGUGUUUACAAAACAAUUGGAUGAUACUAAUAUCUCUUCAAGAAAUACUUUCAGUUAUGUAGCAAAUCAGAUUCAAAGAUUAAGCACACUUGAAAGGGACAAAAUAUGCUGAAGCUAUCAGACGCUUAAAAAGACAAGAUCAGACGUCUGAUAGAAUCCUUCAAAGUCGACAAAACCAUCGGACGCUGAAUAUGUCUCCACCAGACGUCCGAUAGAAACAAGAUGAUUUCUCAAAUCUCUUUGCUUGCUAUCGGACGCACAAAGAGCUUGCACGACGUCCGAUAGAAAUAAAAUGAUUCUUCCAACUCUUUGUCUGCUAUCGAACGCAAACAUCCAACGUUCGAUGCUCCAACGGCUAGUUGAUUCUUCAACUACUUUCUAUCCGUUGGAAAUAUUAAUGAGGCACUUUUUUGUCCUAUAUAAAUAGUGGUUGGUCAGAUAUUUUAAAUAACUUUUACACAUAGAACAUACAAAAGAUUUAGAGUAGGUUUAGUGAGAAAACACUCUCCAAAGAAGAUUUGUAGUCUUAAUGGUGUGAGGUUCAUUGUAAGUUUUUCAUUUGUGAGUGAAUACUUCAUGAGUAUAGCUCUGUGAGGGUUGUCCUGAGGGAUAGUAAAACUUCCUAACUUGACCGAGUGGAGAUCGGGGCAAGGAGGAAGUGAACCUUUCUUUGUACAUAAGAGUGAUUGUAAUUCAUCAAUUUGAAGAAGUUUGUUCUAUAAAUUGAUCUACAAGCUCAAGAGGAGUUGGGUAGUCUGUGAUACCCCGAAUAUUAGGAGGUUGUUUGUAAAGAAAACACUAAAGUGUACUUCUUUGGGUUUGAUUUAAAACCUUAUUUCAUUUUAAAAGAUUAGAAACCCUAAUAUUUUAAUCAAAAAUCCUAAUUUACUUGUGACUAACCGGUUUUCUUAAACCCUAAUUUUAAUCACUGGAAUUGUAAAAUCCCUCACGUUUCUCUUAAAAACUUCCUUUUAUUUGGAGCUUAUGAUUUUAUAAUAGCCCUACCACCCAAUCAUCUCACAAUAAGUGCAAAUGAAUAUGAAAAUAAAGAUUUUUCCCUUUUUGUUUUAAGUUAGCGCGAAUUAGGGUUUUCACGUUUUCCAUAGUGUACUUAUCCGGUACGGAACAAGGAUCAAAUUGGGUGAUUAAAAGUGAUUUUUAGGUGAGAAAUAAUAUGUGAUUAGGAUCAAUGACCUAAGGUUAGUGAAUAAGAAGUAAAAACCCUAGUACGUGUGUUUUAAAGAAAAACGGCGCGAACCGACGGGUACCGCGCACUACCGAUUGAACACACUAUUUGACCAUCAUUUCCUUACCACGUGAGCUCAUUAAUAUUUGAGCAAAAUAUCCCCCUCAUUUCCAGCUAGUCUUGACCGAAAAUGUGGACCAAAUGCAAGGAAAGGAAAGAGAAAAAAAAAAGUGGUGGUGGUGGCGCCACUUGUCGCCACCUAAAGGUUUCUUGACCAACCAAGAAUCCAACCUUCUUAUCCCCAAUUUUGUUCUUUCUUCUUCAUUAUUUCUGCUGGUUGGCCGAACAAGAGAGGGGAAAAGAGAGAGCAAAAACCCACCUUCCUUCAUCUUGAAUUUAAGCUACAAAGUGAGGAAACAAAGAAAGUAAACCGAUUAAAGUUAUCUUUGAGUGUUGGUUUAGUGAGAGGUUGGUGAAUUUUUGAAGGGGAAAGCUAGGGUUGCUCUUGGUAGACACUAAGCAAGGUAAGGAUGAUGAUUUUCUCAAUUCUUACUAUUAAUCUUGUUUAAAUUAGCUUAGCAUUUCAAAUUUGUGGUGAAUAAUGGUUGCUAUCAUGUCUUGAGUGUUGUUUUUCCUUGUGGAUACAUGAAUUAGGGUUUGAUGGAUUGCUGCCUAUACUUGAUGUAUGGUUCAUAUAUGUUGUAUCUAAGAUUAAAUAGGGGGUUUUGGUAGCAAGUGAAGCAAGAAAUGAAGAAAGUUAUCAUUGAAACCAAAAAUUCCAGAUUUCUGGAAAAAUUUCACCCUAUUCUAUCCGGUUCCAGUUCAUGUGGUUAGAGGCCGAAUUAGGUUUGGAAUAAAACAUGAAAGUUGUAGAGAAUGGUAUUUUAUAGUUUUUUACAAAAUUUCAUCUCAAUCGGAGCAACGUAACCUGUGAAAAGACCAAAAUACCCUCACUGCCCUAGGUUAAAUUCCAAUGUUCCGCGUAGACAGUUCAGUCUAUUUGGCUGUGUUUAUUCACUAUAAUCUGUGUGGUUUUAGCCAUUUGCCAAAAUAUGAAAGUUUUAGUACUCUAUCUUAUCUAUUCAACGCCUCCAAGAACGUCUUAAACGGACCUUGGUAGCCUGAGAUAUGGCCAUUUGAAGGCAGUACGGUUAAAUAGCCGAAUAGUUGGAAUUAGGUUAUGUGAAUUGGGAAUUUGAUUAGGUUACACUGGAAAUUAGACUAAGUGCUUUCCAUGAAAAUUAUAGGCCUUCGUCUUAGCUUCGAAAUGGUAUAAGUUUCACCUCGAUCCGAUAAGCGUAGCCUUGGAUGUGCCCAUUUCGCAAAAAUUCGUCAAAACUGUCUUUUUUAAACGUCGUUUCCACACUCGUUAUUAGCUUGAUUUCUUGUUCUUGUAUUGUUUUGAGCCUAUUGAAUGGAUAUUGAAAUGAAAUUGUGUUAUGGGUAACCUUGGGUUUGGUUGAGUAAAAGAAUGAAGCCAUAAAUGACUGAAAAAUUAGGUAAAUACAAAGGGCGUGCUGCCCAAAUUUACGCUCGAGGACUAUAGAAAUACACUUGCGACUUGGGUAGAGUUGAUAUGAAUAUCACUUGAACCAUCUAGGGUACUUGAGUCUUCUUGUUCCGAGGUAUAUAAGUAAGGAUUUGGCCGAACUUGUACCCUUGAGAAAUGAAAUAAUGAUUGUUCGGAAUAUGUUUUCCUUGUACUUUCAACUCGUAUGGCAUUUUCAAGUAUAGAUGCUACAAAGUUUUAUCGUUUAAAAAGCGAGCAAGUGAAUUUCAAUUUCUUGAUUUUUAUUGAACGAAACGUCUAAGUUUCGAAUCUUAGUCGAUUUUCAAAGUUCUUAAGCCAAGUUUUAUUGCAGAUUUGGACUCCAAACCCGGAGUACCACCCAGACGUGAUUACUAGAGGCACUAUAUCUUUGGUGAGUGCUUUCAAAUACCGAAUUGAACUUGAUACUUGAACUUGAUACGUGACCAAUAUGAUUACAUGUUAUAUACGUGAAUUGUUAGGGUAAGAGUGUACUUUAUCGCACUUGCCUUUAUGUGAUAUAUACUUGUUUAUGGUUGCAAUUGACUUGAUACAUUUGUUUAUGAUGUGCGCACUUCCUGGAAUUCCAGAAACCCUGUGGCGAGUUACUCUAGUUGAGCCGGCAAGGGUUUGGUCGAUUGGGUAACGAACCCUGGGUCUCUUGUUUUGUCGAGUGGAGUGAUAUCUUCUCGACUAAUCGGUAUACUCGAGUAUUACCACCCGUGUUUCUUGAGGAUUUUGGGCCCAGUUGGGGGUUUGAAUGGUGGACGGAGAGUCGUUUAAGUGGUGUUCUACUAGAUUGGUUACUUACUUGAAAGUUGACGGAGUGUCAACUGUUACUUGAACAAGCUUGGGAGAUGCACUGGGAUUUUGGCUCCUGAGAGUCUUCCGUAUCCUUAUACUUGAAAAUGAUUAUUGCUUAUCGGAUUGUUGUUUCUUUUGAAAACCAAAAGCACUUUACACUCGUGCAUUUGGAAAUUUGCUAGUUGAAGUGUUGGUGUUCACCUUUAUGAACUUGUUAAGCUCGCUAUCUUUUGCUACAUUGAUACGUGUACUUUUAAUAUGGUCAAUUUGUUAUUUGGAACCUCACUGGGUUUUUAGGUCAUUCCACGCUAUUUGUUUUCCUUACAGGGGGUACGAGCGAGGCGUGAGAUGUGUAAAGACUAACGUAGUCUAGUUGUUUGACUUUUGACUUUUGUCUUGUACUCGCGUUAUUCCUCGAAUAGAAUGUUUUGUAUUUGGAUUGUAUCCGCUUUGAACCAGUUUGGGUAUAUUGAGGUUUUGUACCUUGAUUUUCAUCAAUGUAAAUUAUUAGCUUGAAUUGUGGAUGUUAUUUAUGGUUCAUGGAUGUAUGCACGUGAUUCGAGUGAGUGAGUGAGUCCUGGCGAGAGUUGGGCAGGCGGUCCGCCGAACCCUUUAGUACGCCUUAGGGGGAGGUGGGGUCGUCUCAUAGUCAAUUGGUUUGCUAUUUUUUCUUUCUUAUUUAUUUAUUGUUACAUUUGUGAUCUUUAAAUUGCUUAUCUCUUCUAUUUCUCUCAAGUGAUUUUGUUCAUUCAUUGAUUGACUCAUUGUGUGAUCACUUAGAAAAGAGGAUAAAUUUUAUAUUAAGCAAAAAGGUGUCUCAUCACUUGAUUAGGUUUUUAAUCAACCUAAUUCACCCCCUCUUAGGUUGUUUUCGGGUCUUACAAUCGGUAUCAGAGCUUGGUCUCCUUGAAAUUAAACUCAAUCGAUUUAGGAGUAAAGAUGACAACCAAUAAUACUAUGUUUUUUGAAGGACAAUCUGUAAUUAGACCACCUAUGUUUAAUGGAUCAAAUUAUGUAAGUUGGAAAGAAAAAAUGAUUAUUUUUUUGCAAUCAAUUGAUAUUGAAUUGUGGUUUAUUAUUAGUGAAGGUCCAUAUGAUGCCUCUCUUAUAGAUGAAAAUACUCAUAGAUCUAAACCAAAAAUAAGAAGUGAACUGACUGCUGUGGAUAGAGCUCAUCUCACCUUAAAUGCAAAAGUUAUGAAUGUGUUAUAUUAUGCUUUAGAGUCAAAUGAAUCUAUUAGAGUCAAGGGUUGUAAGUCCACUAAAGAAAUCUGGGACAAACUUAGAGAAAUCCAUGAAGGAAGUGAGAAUGUGAGAGAACAAAAGAAAUCUAUUUUGGUUACCAAGUAUGAAUCAUUCAAGAUGGACCCUCAUGAAAACAUUGAUAAGAUGUAUUGUAGAUUCGAAAAUCUCAUUAAGGACUUAGAGGUGCUGGAAAAGGAAUACUCUCUAGGUGAGAAAAAUAGAAAAAUUUUGAAUGCCUUAUCCAAGGAUUGGGAGAGUAAAGUAACUGCCAUUGAAGAAGUUAGAGAUCUAAAUUCCUUACCUAUUGAAUCUUUUAUUAAUUCUCUAAUCUCUUAUGAGCUGAAACUUAAGUCCAAAGUGUAAGAGGAAGAGGAUGCAAAGGUAAGAAGGGGCAUUGCUCUAAAAGCAUCUCAAGAUGAAGAUGAUUCGGCUUCCUUAGAUAGGAAAGAUGUUGAAGUUGAUGAGAGUGAUCUUGCUCUCAUUACAAGAAGUUUCAAGAGAAUUUUUAACAAAAGAAAAUUUAGAAGAGGAGGAUCUUGUAAUUCAGAUUCUAAUCAAUUCAACAAUGGAAGAAACAAAGGAAAGUAUGAGAUCAACAAAAAAUAAGGUGACAAAUGCUAUGAAUGCGACCAAUUUGGACACAACAUGAGUGAGUGUCCAAUGAAGAAGAGGAAAGAUGAAAGAAAAUCAAGAUUCAAUAACUUUCAAUUCACAUGGAAUGAGUGCAACUCCGAUGGUGAAAUUGAAGAGGAAGAAAAAUCUGCUCAAUUGAUUUUUAUGGCCAUUAGAGAUUAUGAGGUAACAUCUUCUACCUCUCAAUUUGAAAGUGAUGAUGAAAUUGAUGAUGAUCUUGAAUCUUUCAUUAUAAAAUUGUAUGAUAGUUUGAAAAAAUCUUAUGCUAGAAAUAAGUAAUUAAAACAUAAAAUUUGUUUUUUUCUUUAGGACAAUGCACGUCUUUUUCAAGAAAAUAAAAAACUGAUAACUGAAAGUGAUUUCUUAAAAAGGAGUGAGACUGUUUUACACUCUGAACUUGAUAGAAAAAUAAAAUUUUGUGAAAUUAUCGAAAAUGUCAUAUGAAAAAUGAUUGUUAUGUGAGAAAAAACAUGAGAAGAGGCAUGAAAUGCAUGUGGAUAUUUAGACAUGAUGCUAACUCUAACAAGUAGGAGAUAUUGGUAAGAUUGGUGAGAUUCUUGUUCACAAUGCUUUUUUGUAAUUCUUUUUUGAAUGUUUUGAAUUGAGUUUUCCUUGAUAUUUUUGAAUAUUACUGAAUUUAUGUGAUGUCAAAAAGGGAGAGAAAAUAACAAUUCUGAUCUAAUAAUGAUUUUCUUUGUGAUAUGUUGGUACUUCUUUUGGUAUCAAGUCUCUGUGAUAUGUUGGUAUGUUGGUAAUUGCUGAAUUUUGGUAUCAUUUCUCUGUUUUUGUUUGAAAUAUUGAAUUCUCUGUUAUUAUUGCUAGAUUACGGUAUGAGAUUUUUACUCUUUUCUUAUGAUGACAAAAAGGGGGAGAAAAAUGGAUACUAUGUGUUAGGGGGAGUUAUUCUGAUUUCUGAGAUUAUAAGUUUGGUACUUAAAUAUUUUUGGAUGCAAUGAGUAAGGGGGAGCUUAUGCUCAAUCUUUUUUCUUUCUUUCAUCCAUUGUUUUGUCAUCAUAAAAACGGGGGAGAAUGUUGAUCUUGGUCCCUAACUUUUGAUAUUUACAAAACAAUUGGAUGAUGCUAAUAUCUCUUCAAGAAACACUUUCAGUUAUGUAGCAAAUCAGAUUCAAAGAUUAAGCACACUUGAAAGGGACAAAGUAUGAUGAACCUGUCGGACGCUCAAAAAAACAGAAUCGGACGUCCGAUAGAAUCCUUUAAAGUCGACGAAACCGUCGGACGCUAAAUAUGUCUCUACCGGACGUCCGAUAGAAACAAGAUGAUUUCUCAAAUCUCUUUGUUUGCUGUCGGAUGCACAAAAACCUUGCACUGGACGUCCGAUAGAAAUAAGAUGAUUCCUCCAACUCUCUGUCUGCUGUCGAACGCAAGCAUCGGACGUCCGAUAGUAUCGGACGCCCGAUAUUUCAACGGCUAGUUGACUCUUCAGUUACUUUCUAUCCAUUGGAAGCAUUAAUGAGGCACUUUUUUAUCCUAUAUAAAUAGUGGUUGGUCAAAUAUUUCAAAUAACUUUUACACAUAGAGCAUACAAAAGAUCUAGAGUAGUUUUAGUGAGAAAACACUCUCCAAAGAAGAUUUGUAGUCUUAGUGGUGUGAGAUUCAUUGUAAACUUUUCAUUUGUGAGUGAAUACUUCAUGAGUGUAGUUCUGUGAGGGUUGUCCUAAGGGAUAGUAAAACUUCCUAACUUGACCGAGUGGAGAUCGGAGCAAGGAGGAAGUGAACCUUCCUUUGUACACAAAAGUGAUUGUAAUUCAUCAAUUUGAAGAAGUUUGUUCUAUAAAUUGAUCUACAAGCUCAAGAGCAAUUGGGUAAUCAAUUGGUUUGCUAUUCUUUCCUUCUUAUUUACUUAUUGUUACGUUUGUGAUCUUUGAAUUGCUUAUCUCUUCUACUUCUCUCAAGUGAUUUUGUUCAUUCAUUGAUUGACUCAAUGUGUGAUCACUUAGAAAAGAGGGUAAAUUUUAUAUUGAGCAAAAAGGUGUCUCAUCACUUGAUUAGGUUUUUAAUCAACCUAAUUCACCCCCUCUUAGGUUGUCUUCGGGCCUUUCAUAUCGAUUUGGCUCCCAAGUGACGUUAUAUCAUUUCAUAUUGAAUAAGUUAUUAUAUUGUAAAUUAUACAAUGAUUUGUCCUGAUUUUAAUUGUUUGUUAAUAUGUUAUUAUGUUGAAACUAUGGAUUUAUGUCGUUUAUUGAUUGUUUCUUUUCUGAGAACCUCACUGGGCGUAAUGUCAACCUUUAGUUUGUUUUCCUUACGGGAUAUGAGAGCGAAAGAAGUUGAGAUUAAUGAUAGAUCGAAUCCAAAGUCUCUAUUUGGUAUUUAUUGUAGACAAACUUGUACUAUGAGAAUUAGUGGAUAAAUUCUUACUUUAAUCCUAUUGGUUUGUAUAUAAGUGUGAAUGUGAGAACCCGUAAAUUUCUUGAUUUCUAGGCCUUAUUUUAAUUAUUUGCACGCCUUUUAUGCAUUUUCUUUAUUAGGAAAAAUUUUCUAAAUAAUUUUUAUGAGUAAAUAUAGUUUUUAGAUGAUUUUUCUAAUACCGGUUAGUUUUUGAGAAAUUAAGAGCAUAUACCGGACGUGGGACCCGCUAGUGCGGAAAGUUCGAUAAAAUUCGGCCAAUUAGAUUAAGUUUGGGAUACUGGGAUUAAUUUACUAGGUACUAAGAGAUAAUUAGAGAUUGUUAUAUGGAUGAGAGUGGAGAGACAAAAGGAUAACCAUGUAUUAAUUAUAGUGACAACUGUCACUUGGAGAACUAGUCUUACUUUUGACCACUAUUCAUUACUUUACCAAAUAAAUCAAAAAUUGACCCAAAAAUCACUCAAAAUUUCAAGCUCAUGGCCGGCCCUCUCUAAGGGAAAAAGAAAAGAAAACUCUCCACUUUCUUAGCCCCAAUCUUGUUCAAUCUUCAAUUCCAACCGUUUAAUCUUGAAUUUACUCCAUAAAACCUCUUAGUUUAGUGGUAUUAAGGUUGGUUGUGAAGUGGUUUGGAGGAGCAAGGUGCUAAAUUGGGUCUUUUUUUGGGUUUGCAAGGUAUGUGACCAAGGAACCUUCCCUUUGAUCCUAUUAAUGCUCAAUUGGUACCUUUUGUGAGUUAAAGAGAUAAUUUUAGGUGUUAUUUUGUGACUUUUGGUUGAAAUUGGUGAAGUUUUAUAUUUAUUUGGGAUUUUUCUAUUUUCAUAUGAUUAAUAUUGUGUGGCCAUGGAUGAUGGUUGGGAAUGGUUUAGAAUGAAGCCUUGGUGUGUAAAUUGUAGCUAUUUGCGGAAAAUUUCCGCUUUGAACCGAAAUUUCCAGGUUAGGGUUCCAAUUUUUCACUAUUCUGCCCGGCACUGUUGGAUCUAGUUAUAGGUCGAAUUAGCCUUAGGUUAAAACAUGAAAGUUGUAGGGAAUGAUGUUUUAUAGUUGAAUGCAAAAUUUCAGCCCAAUCGGAGCAAUGUAACCUGUGAAAAGACCGAAAUACCCCUGUUGCCCUGUUUCUACCCAAACAUGCUAAUCAGCUUCUGUAAUUGGUUGUUUUGACCAGGAAUACUACUGAUUUGGUUGUCGAUAUCUUCUUAAGACUUAUAGCCUUGUGGCUUAGCUUUAAAAUGGCUUUGAAAUCACUUGAAUUGGAGUUGUAUAUGCUGAGAUAUGACUGAAUGAAUCAGGACUGCCACAGUAAACUUCGAAUUGGAAAAUCUGGGAUUGUUUUGGUAAAUUUGACCUAGAAACAUUGUAAACUGGACUGAGUGGCCUUCUUCAACAUUGUAGGCCUUCCUAUUAGCUUCGAAACGGUGUAUCUUGUACAUCCAUCCGAUAAUCGUAGUGCCGGUUGUGUCCAAUACGCUUAAUGACGUUAAAACUGUUUUUAGGUCUUAGAGCUUAACUCUCAUUUCCGGACUUUCCCUAGCUUACUUUAAUACUUAUACGUUCUAAUGGAGCCUUAUUUUUGGUAGUAUAUGGAAUUGGUUUAUGACUUGUAAUCGAGUCUUAUUGUGCUUGUUUGAAUAUUUUAGGGCGUGACGGUGAUUAAAGACGCUCUUUGGGCGGAAGUUUAUGAAAUUUCACUUGCUUGCUUGGUGAGUGUACUACUCACUUGCUUGUUACUGUGUGGCUUUGUUAUAUUUGAACUUGGAAUUUCACUGACCUCUCUUACUCUAUUGCGUUUUUGGUAACAACGCAGUCCAAAUCUGAUUACAAUAUUAUUUUCAUGUGUGAGAAGGUAUUUUUAUUCCAUGGAUGCCCCUUUGGUCCUUGUAUUGGUAGAAGAUUGAAAGAAGAAUAAAUUAUUAGAAUGAUUACUAAAGUUGAGGGGUUAUAAGUACAAAAAAAAACGGUUGUAAGCACCAGAUGUGUCAGGAAAAAUGCCGAGUUUCACAAAUUUUAAGUCAACUAGUAGGUUAUCUAUUUAACAUAAAAUAAGUAAGUAAUUAAACUAAUUAAAUAGAAGAGAGAGAGAACCAAUUAAAUGCAAGAAAGUCGUAAUAGAGGAAACGUAUACAAAACGAAUAUUAGUAUAUCACCUUUUAAAUUUUACUCACAUAAACUAAUAGACAAUUCCAUAAGCUGGUUGGUGAAUAACAGAAAUUUAAUAUCUAAUGAAGGUGAUUAAAAAAUUAUUACUGCUAGGCGCCAAUUUUUGAAAGUUAAAUUUAUGUAUUUAACAUAAAUUUAAUAUGUGAAAGUUAAAAAAAAAGAAAACGAAAUAGCGCGUAACAUACCAGCUCUAUAUGGGAAACAUUGUAUCAACAUUUUAUGGGAAACAUAAGAGCUCUUUAUGCCAUUUACCCCACUUGGCGAAUAAACACCAGCUCUUUACGCCUCUUCUCAAUUAAUGGGUUCCAGUUAGGACGGUCGUGGCAGCAUACGAGGAGUCAGUCUGGCUUCGGUAUAUGUAUCGGGCGCGACCUUUUGGUUGCCAUUUACCCCGCCCGACCUGUCUGUCAAAUCUGUGCUACCGACUUCUAGAAGCUGGUUGACGACCACAGGUACGAACUAACCCUCCUUGUUUAUCACUGUGGAACCUCCUCUGCUCUGCGAUGAACGUCCGUAAAUUGACGAUGUACGUGUAGUUCAGGACUGUUCAUGUUUCCUUGCUAUCGGUGUAUUGUUACGGUUCGGAUGAAUUAAACGUAUUGACACAUACGUUGGUCGGUUUGUAAAAAUGUUUCGGAUGACAGUUUUUUGACGAUAGAAUGUUGCGUCGUUUGCAGGAGAAGUCGCCACUUUCCCAUUUGUGUUCGUUUAUCGCUACGGUUAGUCGGAUGUCCAGAAAUUCGGGAUAUUACACCUGAUCAAUCAUUAUUGGAUUUUAUGAGGAAGUUGUUGUUGUUUGAAGUUUACUCCAUUCUUGGGGCUUUCAGGGAUUCACUCAACUGUGCCCAGUAAAAGGAGUUAACCGGUCAUGGCCAACGAACAAAAAGGGCUUUCAGGAACCUCCAUCCUCUCCCUUCCGACCGAGGUGCUUGCACGUGUCGCAUCUUCUUCAUCAACUGAUCUUUUCCGGGCAAAACUGUGGUUCGUUCUGCUAUUGAUGAUACAAACAGGAAGAGGCGAAUUCUGUUCCAUUCUGUGAUUUUCGUUUAGGUUAAUGGAUCAUUUCUCUUAUUGUGCAGCUGUAAGUUGCUUAACGAAGUUUCGGACGCAGACAUCGUUUACCAGCGGGUGUCACUCGCCAAGUUCGAACUCGUUCCGUGGCACAAAACCACAAAGUGUCGAGCUUCUUGAAGAAGUGUAGACAAUGCAAAAAUCCAGAUGCACUGUAUCGAAAAGGAGUGAUAAGCAUCGGGCCGAUAAAACUCAUUCCCUUGAAUAUUCUACCUUUUCAAUUGAAGUUGGUAAUGAACAACCCCCAGUCCUGUACAGUAUAAGUCCUGGUCAAUGUCUUUGGCAAGUUGGGUUUUGAUUAGGAACGUAAGACUCAAUAGUUAUGGGAAAAUUCGGUAAUGUUUUAAAUGGAAUAGUUGUCAACUAACAUUCCAUAAGCAUACUUGAGUUACAAAAUUUCUAGACUAAGCUCACAUCAUGUCUUUCAUUUGAACUUCAUUGUGAUUCUGGUCAGCAUACUUCACCCCCAAAAGAUUGGCUUACAACACGUUACUGCAGCUUUGGGCCCAGUAAAUAACUGUUGUCCCGUCGCCACUGUUCCACCUGCACUUUUUAACUUUUUCGUUACUAAGUUUGUAAGCAAGACUGUAAUAUCAACCUUGGCACUGCUUAGGUUGAUUUCUUUACGGACAAGCAUGGGGACUCAGCAUCGGAAUGCUUGGAAGAAGCUGCUAAUUCAGGCCAUGCCGAUGCUGCAUAUGCGUUGGGAAUAAUUUACAUCUUUGUUGGUGGGGACGAGUUAAAGCGCAAAGGUAUGAGCCUGCUGAGCGGGAUGAAGAAAUCCGGAAUUCUGAAAGGCAGAGUGAAACUUUGCCGUGACAAUUUGCGAGCGCUACUGAGGAUGAUAUGGGUCAAGAAUCCUGUGUUUGCAAACCCAACGCCCAUUUGUUGUGCCAUGACACAUGAGAGGAAAACAUCUUCAUGGCCUAUGGAUGCGGAUGACGUGGAGGAGAGUACAUGUGAAGGCUGCGCUUGCGAUGAAGAAAUUGGAGCAAUUUGUGCUGCCCUACCUUAUCGUUAGUGUGUAAGAUUGAAUGUUGAGAACUCCUUUGACUGCACAAAUUUUUCACCAUCGUGUACAAAUUAAUUUUCACCAGCUAAAUAGCUUAUCUUGGCCCUUUUAUGUUCUGUAUUUGAUCGAAUCAUUAAUGAAGUUAGUAUACGAUUUUCUAAAAAUCCAGUGCGUUAACAAAACAUUAGCACACUGAAAUACGAUUCGAUAAUGUUUUUCAGGGUCGUCGGAGGAGAUUGGGCGGUGGUCUGCAGGGCUCGUUACCCUCUAUAUUUAGCAAUGUACAUAUACACGCUCGAAGUUCCUUCAGUACAAAACCACAUACAUAUGCAAACUCAACAAAACGCCGUUGUAGACAAACGUGUAUGAAAUGUAAGAAUAAAGGAUGAUAGUUAGAAGGUAAAGAGGGAACUCCUCAGCAGUGAUCUACGUGAUGGAUACUGUACUGAAGUGAGAAGUUUACUAACUACAUACGAAAUGGUGCUAGAUUAGAUAUUGCAAAAAAAAUUACUUAUGGAGGAAAGCCAUAGAGAGCUUGUCUUUUAAGAGAAUGAGAUACUAAUUAGAAAUGCGACCAUGAUUUGAUUUAUGAAAUUAUCAAAAAAAAUUUAGAAUGAUUUUGUCAAUAUAAUUAAUUAAUUAUUAUAUAUAUUCAUAUAAUGCAUUAUAUAAUUAUGCAAAUAUAUUAUAUGGUACGAAGUAUAGUAUAUAUUUAUUAUGAUGUUUAGUUUAGUAUUAGUAUACGUAUAAGUAUUAGGAAUCAUUAUAAUUAUAUAAUAUUUUAUUACUAUAUGCACAUAUAUAUUAUAAUUAUAUGCACAUAUAAAAUACAUUUAUAAAUAUAUAUAAAUAGUAAUAUGUAAAUAUAUAUUAUAAAAAUAUUUAUAAUAUACAUUUAUAAAAAUAUUAAUUAAUUUAUAAUAUACUUUAUAGUCAUAUAAUAUAUUAGUAUAAUUAUACAAUGCAACACAUAAAUAUAUAUAAUAAAGGCUUAAUUAAAAAAAAUGCAUUCUAAAUUUUCUUUGGAUAAUUUGAUAAUCCAAAUCGUGGUCCCAGUCUGUAAAGUAGCACUUUCUCGUAAAAGACCAGCUCUAUAUGGCCUUCCUCCAUUAUAAUAACAGAGUACCCUUUUUUCCAUAAAUAAUUAUAAUUAUCCAGUAAAAUAAGAAAAAAAUUGAUUUACUUUAAUUGACCAACUCUUUAUGGCUUGUCUCCAUUAUAAGAACAGAGUACCCUUUUUUCCAUAACUAAAUUUAUUUAUCGGAUAAAGAGGAAAAAUGAACUCGCUUUUCAAUAAAAGACCAGCUCUUUAUGGCUCUCCUUUAUUAUAAGAAAAGAGUACCCAUUUUUUCGUAAACAAAUGCCCUAAUCGGAUUGAAAUGAAAAUAAACAAGUUUUUCAAUAAAACGCUAGCUUUUUGGCUAUCGUCCAUAAAUUAUCCAAUGUCUGAUUUUUCCAUAAUGUAAUUCAGGGGAGGUUUCUGAAAGUAUCCCAAAAAACAUGUUGUGUAUAUAAUAUUAAUAAAUUAUAUAAAUAGAAAAUUACAUUUGUUAUUAUGAAUAGAUUGUAAUCUGCUGCCUGUAAAUUGUCAAUUGCGCAUAAACCGCUUCGGAAUAAUCUAUCCAAUACCGAAUCGGGUUGAUUUUCGUUUGACUAAAUCGGGUUUGCCUCCCUCCACGCCCGUCCCUGCCUGAUCAAUUAUCCCACAAAAAGUUUGUCUUUCUUGAACUUCUCAUCGUUUCUCCUGUUAAGCCCAUCAAACGCCGCGGGUGUUGUGUGAACACACUGAACAGCUUCGGUUUAAACUUUCCCCCCUUCUGAAAUUUGGAACAUUUCGAACAGUUUUAGGCGGCAAGGUCCAAAUAAAUCGGAUUUAUCGCGUUCGCUUCCUCUGUUGCUCAAAGUACUCAACACUUGAAUCGCAUCCCGAAGCAAGCAUAGCCAGUAACAUGGAGGCCUGUAUGAGUCUUCCAGUGUAUGCAGGCAUGUGGGUCGACGUAGAAGCUCUCGCUGGUGAGUGUAUCGAUAUCACGGAAUAUCUUAAUGCCCAAAAUUUGUUAAAUUUGCUGGCACAUAAUGACAAGUGCUAUGCUGCGAUGGUUAGGGAAUUCUAUGCUAACUGUAGGGCAAAUAAGCAGAAGUCUGUUCUGCGUUCAAUGCUUAGGAAUGUACACAUGGAAUUGUCUACUGAGGUUUUGUGUUCAGAGUUUGGAUUGGUUGACAGUGGAUACACUGUUGACUAUAAACGGAUUAACGCAAAGAAUGUAGAUAAGGUUGUGUGUGAAGGGGUACAAUGACCUAGAAUUUCUUGGAGAGAUUAGGCAAAAUGGUGACAGAGUUAUGAACAUGGGGAAGAAAACUAAGUUUUAUGGGCCGUAUAUGAAAGUGUUGCCACGACUGUUACAUCUGAUAAUAACUCAUAACAUUUUACCCAAAGCCGGAAGUAUCACUUCCGUUAGUGCAUUAGAAAGAGUUAUAUUGUGACAUAUGUUACACAAACAACCCGUCAACAUAGGCAAUUUGAUCAUUGCAACGAUGCUCAACAGGAUUAGGAAGAUUAAGAGCAGGGAGAAUAAGAGAACACAUCUCCCUUUUGGUAUGUUGCUGACCAGGCUCUUUAGGCGCUUUAAUGUGCCAUUCUUGGCUGACCACGUUGACAAAGGAUUUUAUGCCCAAAAAAUAGAAGUAUCGUACUUCAAAAAACUGGCAUUCAAAGCUGAAGAUGGUGGUGGAUGUGGAAGAAAUCCUAUACCUCUUAUGCUGUCAUUGGUCAGACUGGGGACGCGAAUAGAAAAGUUGAAGAAAUAAAAGAGAUGGAUAAGGGGGGAAGUGUGCUGGGGUAGAGGUGAGGCCGGUUGUGGGAGAAAAGGCACACCUUGUAGAUGUUGUCUUACUAUCUGAACAAACCAGAAAAGGGGCAAGUGUAUGUGACAAUGUUAUUUUACUCCUUUUUGUUUCUUCUUCUCGAUGGCAACACAGGAGCAUAACCCAAUAUUUGUAUGACUAGGUUGUGGAUAAAGUGACACAAAUUUUACAACGGGUUGGUGCCAGCGAAGUGAAGGACUGCAGAUUUGAGGAAUUGCCAUUUCUACGAGAUGUAAGACAUGCUCUUGCGCUCUCCUGUAAUCCCCUUUAUAUAUGCUAAUACCUUUAUUGUCCAGUGUCUACCACAAGCGUCCGGCGUAGCACCUGAUGAAUUGAAAGAAGCCGUAUGCUUUCAUGUCAGACAACUCGUCCGCAGAUGUAUGUUAAAAUAUCGGUACUGUCAAUGGCUAACACUGAUCUCGCUUUCAUCUGUUUAUUGUACUCAUGUCAAUCAUUGUUCACAGCUGUGUCAAUACACUAGAUAGGCAGCAUCUCUUUGAUAUUACAAGAGAAGAACUGAGCAAGUGAUGCUUCUGGAGACAUGUCUCAGUGACAGAGUAAGUUUUUUAUGCGAUUGCACAGGCCUACCUUGUUCACUAAUCUCGCUAAAAAUAAUAACUCAAUGUUGAAUGUUUGAAUUUGUUCCAUUCUGUGAAGGUUGUGACCCAGUACCUUCACUUACUCCAGAAAGAAUAUAAGCAAUUUGUUUUCUUCAAUCCUAUGUUUUGGGUACGUAACGAAAAUUAUUGUAUGUGCUGUUGUGUCUUGCAAAUGUGGACCUAAUACUUGCUUCUCAAUCACUUCGUUGUAGCUGAAAUGCGUGUUAGACUAUCCAUGCAUAUCUCCCGCAACCAAAAAAUUCGUUGAUCAGAGCAAUGACGACUCCAUGACAAAUCCUGAAAAGGUAAACAUUAGCUAUCAUUCUCGCCUUUACAUUCUUAUACAAUAUGAGUAGCAGCUGCAUGUUAGUGGAAUUGGAUUCAGCCUAACAUGGCCUUAGCUUUUAACACAUUCAACAUUGCUUGUUGUAUGCGAUUGCAGAUUUUUUUCCCAAUCGUUUAUUCAAAUCAUUGGUUGCUCAUGAUUGCACAUGUCAAGGACAAACAAGUGUACAUUGUUGAUUCUAUAGACAAUUACAAAACCUUCUACCAAGGUUUGAUGCAAUCUAUGGUGAGUAAACUUCAAAAGCGUACCUUAGCUUCAUUUCCGAAGAAGGUAACAUAUUUCUAACAUUCGAUACUUGCUAUAUUUAUUUCCUUUUUUAGGAAUGGAUUUUGAUGAAAAUUUUCCACGAAAAUCAACCCUGGACAUUUAAUCUUGUAAAACACAAACUAAAACAGAGACAGGCGAGUUGCGGGGUUUUCACUUUGAAGUUUGCGCAAUGUUGGGCAAAGGGUGUCGGCCACAAUUUGUAAGUGCACAAAUGGACAACCCCUUGUGGCAAGCUCACUCUAUUGCGUCUGACAUUGUUUCUGAAUGUAUGUACAGCUUGAUGUUGUCAUUGCUAGAAAAUUUAUUGCCUGGGAGAUCGCUUUGGGGAAACUUGCGGACCCGUUCGCUUAUGCUGCUUGCCUGAUAGAAAAUAAACAGGCACAUGAGGCUGUAACCAGAGGAGAUUUGCAAGAUGAUGCUACUAAGGAUGUGGGGCAUCAGGAAACAGGGAACGGUACAUUAUGUCUCGCCUUUACUGUAAUUGGUUCGUUGCAUAUGAAGGCAAUAUUAAAUUUUAAAUUCUUUAGGGCUGUAGCAAAUUAUUGGUACGAAAUUAAUCAUUGUAUAAAGAAACAUAAAAAGUGUAUGUACCUCUGUGCCAAUGUAUCUCCUCGUGACCAUUGCAUUCACAAAUUGCUUUUCUACUCCAGUAUUCCAUUAUUGCAGGGCUGCUGCUCACAAAUUUGUCAUAAAUUCUCGACCACAGAACUUUGCUUUACACUUUCAAUUCCUCUUGUUUGAUUUCGCAUUAUGACAUUCAAAUUGGAUCUCACAUGCAAAAUUCAUGUGCUGAAAUGCUGUAUGCCUUCAAUUUUUCCCCAGCCGAGGUACAAGGGUGAAAACAAGCCCGCCAGAACUUGCAUCCGCCAAUGAUUCAAAGAAGAAGUUCUUAUUCUUGAUUUGAAUGGAGUGCUUCUGGGCAGUGCAUUUACAAGGAUGACCAGAAAUCGGGACUUUAAUUUCAGACCACGUUGCUUUGAAGUUUUGCAGGUCUGUCUGUCAUAUUUUGAGGUGGCUGUUUGGUCAUCAAAGCUAAGGUAUCCGCCAACCUAUAUUUGAAUUACUUCAUUAACUAGAACGUCCACAAGUUUUUCUGUUAUGUUCUGAAUUCAAGACAGUUGUGCUUUCUGCAGCCACAACAUUCAACCAGUGUUGGACAGUCUAUCCAAAAAAAUGAAUGAACGUUUGGAGCAGAGACUGUUAUUUGUUUGGGUGAGAUGUCAUUCAUAAAUUACUUCGAUUGUGUGUAGUCAGUCCAUGUGUAAGACUUCUGAUAAAUGAAAGUCGGAAACAAUCAAUAUUGCGCAGGAUCAGUCGCGGUGCACUAUGACACAAACCAGCCUUAGGGAAAAUCCAGACAAACCGGUGAUGUUUAAGGACCUGAAACAUGUGUGGGGAGAAUAUAAGUCGUACAACAACUCUAACACGAUAUUAGUCGAUGAUUCUCCGUAUAAAUCCUUCCUUAAUUCUGUAAGUGCCCAUACCCACUGAUCGUUAUGUUGUAUAUGUUCCGUAUGCACAAACAACAUGAUCAGGGCUAACUGUUUCCAUAUUACUCAUUCUUCAGCCGUACAAUGCCAUCUUCCCCACCUCUUAUACAUGUUACACUGUAGAAGACAAUUAUUUGGGUAAGACGCGGUUCGUGAUGCAUUGAAAUGUGGCUUUUGCUACGGUAAGCACAGGGUGAAAGAUUGGCCUGACACAAAACUUAUUUGCAGAUCCUGAAGGAGAUUUUGUACGACACCUGAAGAUUGGCCAGUGCUGAUAAUGUACAAGAUUUCAUUAAGCGAAACCGUUUUGGACAAUCACCCGUAACAGAAGGCAGUGUGGAGUGAAACUUUUAUGUUAAUGUUGUCAGCAAGCUUGGACUGCAGAACACAGCAAAGCAAGUGACGCGCAAACGGGAAGCCCCAAACAGAUAUUAUCCGGAGGUAUCCAUUGCAUUCAUGUUCAGGAAUAUGUUCACAAUAGUUCAACACCUCGUUAUGAUAGCUAAAAUUGCGUCUGGUCAUAUGCACAGACCAAGAAAAAAGGAAAAUUUGAAAGCAUGAGGAAGAUCAGUGUUCACUAUACGGAAGCUUCUCCAAACCAUUGGAGUAGAGAACCUCUCUUCUGAUGGGACACACAAGCAAAACUUUUGUGCUUUAGUGAGACACUGGGCCUGUCUAAUUCAUAUAUGUUGGUACUACUUUCUUCCCUUACUUGUGUUUUUUGUUUGCAAAGGCCCGUCGCUGAGUUUUUUUAUGCAAAUUCUAAAAAUGUCGAAGUUUGGAAUGACGUAUGUUGUCUGCAGGUUUCGGAAUGCACAUGAGGAAAAAUUAUCAGAUAAUGCCUGUAAUUGCUGUCAAAUGCAGGAUGCGUCAGCCAUAUACUCCUGCUACAAACGUUGGCAUCUUGAACUAUUUGCCCAAUUUUACUCAAAUGUUAACCUUCACCUCCUUGAGAUUCCACAUACAUAUUUAUAAAUGUAUAUUAUAUGUGCAUUUAUAUUUAUAAUAUAUAUGUGUAUGUAGUAAUAAUAUAUUAUAUAAUUAUACUUAUAUUUGUUAUUACAAAUAUACUAAUAUAUACUAAAAAUUAUACUUAUUAAUAUAUAAUAUUCUCUAUAAUUAUCAAAAAUAUUAGUACAACUAUACAAUGUAUUAUAUAAAUAUAUAUUAUAAUUAUUUAUAUAAAUAAAUUUACUAAUUCUAAAUUUUUUGGGAUAAUUUCAUAAACCAAAUCGCGGUCACUUCUGUAAUGUAUCACUUUCCAUAAAAGACCAGCUCUUUAUGACCUUCCUCCAUUAUAUUCGCAAAGCACCCAUUUUUCCAUUAAUAGAUUUAUUUAUCGAUAAAAUAUAUAAUAACUCGUUUUCCAAUAAAACCCAGCUGUUUAUGGCUUUUCUCCAAUAUAAGAACAGAGUACCCUUUUCCAUAAAAAAUUUAUUUAUCGAAUAAAAUUAAAAUAAAUCAGUUGUCUACUAAAACACCAGCUCUUUAUGGCUUUCCUCAAAAUGAGUAAACAGAGUACCCAUUUUCCCAUACGCUAAUUCAGGGGAGGUUUGUGAAAUUAUCCGUAUAAUAUAUAUGUGUAUAUAAUAUUAAUAAAUUAUAUAAUUAUAAUUAUAUAAAAUAUUAGUUAUGGGUGAAGAACGGAACAAGAGAAUUACGGGUGAAUUAUAGGUGAAGAACGGAAAAUAUUAGUUAUUGGUGAAUUAUGGGUGAAGAACGGAAGAAAGCCCAGUUUUCUGAUUUCUCAACAUGCUGGAAGUUGAGACAGUACAUGACACAGGGAGCUUUGCAGUGCAUUUACAAAUUUAUUUUAGGAUAUAGUGGGAAUAAUGAAUUCUUGUAUCGGACGACAAAAUAUAGUUAAAGGCGUUGUCGAAUACAAAUUCAUUUAUCGAAAAGCGAAAAAAUACACCCGUUGUUCAUAAAAAGGGUUUCUUCCGUUAAACUGACACAGUCCCAACGUGCAUCAAAUAGAAAUGUUUAUCGGAUGAAAUAUAGUUAAAGCGUUGUUGAAUAAAGAUCAGCUUCUUUAUGGCUUGCGACCGUGUUACACUGAGAAAGUAUCCAGGGGCCUUAAACACAGAUGUAUUUACCGGCUGAAAUGUACUUAAACCGUUGUCGAAUACAAGAGCAGCUCUUUAUGGCUUUCUCCGUUUUAAGUACGAGGUAACCAUUUUCCGUUAAACAAAUAUUCAUUUAUCGGCUACGUGUAAAUUAAACCCCUUUUCCAAUAAAACCCGGCUCUUUAUCGAUUUCCUCCACUAUCACAACAGAGUACCAAUAUCCAUACUUACUAAUUCACUUAUCGGAUAAAAAUGUAUGGCUAAUUUAUUUGUUCGAUAAAAUCGGAUCGAUAUUAUACUUGAGUGUCAUUUACCCUUUAGCAUAGAAUGCAAGCAAGAAACUAACCUAUUGCAGGUUUAAACUCCGUGUUAAGACAAAUUGUUUCGAAUACGUCAAGACACCUAAUUCAUAAACUCUCGCGAAACAUAAAUUUAAACGCGUUAAUUUUAAUUACCACAAAUCAAAUAUUUCAAUCCUUUUUCAUUUAUUUCUAAUGACUGCAUACCAUGGAGCACUGUACUAGUCAUAACCAACCACAAAUCUUCUCUUAACUCUCGACCACAUGAAGAUUGUGGUACUCGUUAUCCCAUGCCAAGGUCUCCCACACCACCGCCGCGAGUUUGCUCGGUUGAACUUUGCUUUCCUUCCUCUAAUGAAACUCAUAGAUACACACCAACCGCUUGCCUUACUAUGGCAGUUUUUUGGACUCUCUGUCUCGUCUUCUACAUUUUAGGCUACGACGACGUCCAUCCGACUAUGACAGCCCCUAUUACAUGGCCCUUUCCACAAAAUGCCGCUACUUUGUUUCUUAUCUUGCCACCUUCAUCCAACCUCAACUUUAUUCAUCUCCAACCUCCUGUGCGUGUUCGCUUUCCGCAUAAUUUGAUGACGGACAACGUUGGCAUCAUCCAGAACCAAAGACAGUGCUAUUUUUGCGCCGCUCCUGCUCCGAAUUGUACUGCACCGAUAAAUUUGUUACUAUCUCCAUCGUUCGCAACCAAUGCAAGCAACACACUUACUGUUAAAGCACACGACGCCAUUCCUUUUUCCUUACCUGAUUCCAUUUCCAGCUUCAAUUCCACUUGAUAACAUAUCCAUGUACUUCAGCAUGAAUAACCCACAAUCCCACCUGCAUUACAAACCAUAACCACAAAUUUAGACAACCGUUGCUGAACUAUGAAAAAACUUCCAAACCUAUGCACAUGCAACUUACGCAUUCCGUUGCUGUGGACAUGUGGCUGCAGCUUUUAUUUUGUACAGCCAAAGGCAUGACGAAUACUGCCCCUCCAAACCAUAAGUCAGCGCUGCUUCCAACCUUUCAAUCUGAGGGCCAUACAAGAAAAACAUAUGCAAUUUUAAGUUUACUGCCACCAAUUGUAAAGGUGAUGGUCGUGUUCAUGAAAUGUUUGACAAACCAACUUAGUUUACCAUGUCUCCACGGAGCUGCGCCUAUUCAUAUCCGUUUGCUCGUGUCCUCUCAUUGAAUCAUAAAUUAAUACUUCUUCGCUUCCCAUGUCCACCACACACAUAUACCAAUGCUCGUCGUGCCACAUUGGCACGAAUAUCUGAAGCAUAGCAGCGGUUAGUUAGUCAUCAUCAUGGGAAUCUGUAUCUAUUCCAUUAUGCUACAUAACAGGGCAGCUUCUCGUACCUUCUCACACUUUUUUAUAUUACCUCCUACUUUACAUUCCUGUAGAUAUGUACAGUACAGCUCGUCUGCUGAUUUGUUGAACUCCAAAAUCUCUUGCUACAACACGACAGUAAAAUAUGACAUUUUAAUAUGAAUGUACGUACUCACUCCCCCCAACUUUGGCCGAACACUUGUACCUGAAACCAAGUUGGCAUGAACCACCAUCGCAUUGACUGAUCUACAGCACGCCUUUGCUGCCUUGCUGUUUUCAUCGCACAAUAGCAAUUGAUUAUCUGCACCAAACUCAAGUCACAUCACUUCGUCCUCCAUGAAACAGUCCACAUAACACCACCCAAUUUCAAUCCCUCGAUUUACUCACAUCACAUGCCAUGGGUUUUUCAGGAAGCAAGGACCCCAUUGCAUCCCGACUUGCUGUCUGCCCCUUAAUUGACACCAGUACUUCCCUGUCAUUACAACAGGUACAUUAAUCUUUUCCCUAUGUGUAUUACGGUUUCAUAAUCUACAAACUUGAUAUCAUCAUUUUCAAUGACUCGAGUUAAAACGGCCAGAGUAGGUUGCUCUUCCUCACUAAUACAACCAGCAAUCACGGUUUCAAUGACUCAAUCGUUCCUUAGGGUCAUUGAGUUAGCCUAAGGCGGUUAUGUACUCACCAUAAGGGUCAUUGAGUUAUCAUUGUAGUUCCAUUCUCAAACUUCUGGAAUACUCAUUUUAUUCUAUAUGCAAGCAUGUUACCUACCCUUGCUUUUUAUAUAAGCAAGCAUGAUUGACAGCACACAAAUUGUAAGUUUUAUGCUCACUUGUAAACCAAUUUUAACUGCUUCCAAGAUUUUCGUUCCUAUGCCCUCUCCCCUAUGGGGAUAAUCAUACUACAUAUUUAGUCAACCUUAUAAUUGCAAAUACUUUUCUGUCCCCUUUCCCAUUGCAAUUUCAAAUAAGGAUAAAACAAAAUAGAACUGUUGAUUUAACAAAUCCAUGAUCCAGUACAUACCCUUGCGACAGCUGAGUGUCAAACAAGAACUUCAGUAUUUUUGCUCGUCCCUCACUCAAUUUUUCGCCGAUAGAUGCCAGCCUCGUUUCCUGCUACCACAAAAAUAUGUCAUCUUUCAUUGUCUAUAAUUUCCCAUACUUCAGUAAUUCUGGAACGUUGGAAUACUCACCUUUGCCAAUAAAGCAACCAUCUUCGUUUGACACUUGUUCAUCCCACUGCUAUCCAUCUGUACAUAAAACUACAAUUUAUACUUUACUUUUCUAAUGCUAGAAAUACCUUGGCACAAACCGAUGCAUACCUUUAUUCUUUUACCUUGCCUUCUGUUUUGUUUAUCUUCCCACACAGGCUUCUCCGUAUUGUCCAUCCUUAGUCUCUUUCUACUCCUCCACUUUGUAAUUUUCGAUGCACUCUUUUCACCCAUUACAGUACUAUUCGUAGUGACUCUAUCAUUUUCACUCCUGCUUUUGGACCUAACAUCUGGCGUUGUAGGACUAAAUUUAUGUAACUCACUCCCUCUUUUAACAUUACGCGCCAAUCGUCCUUCUGCCCACCCUCCACACCAAGUGCCCGGUUUGUUUUGCACACCCUUCCACUUUCAUACAUGCUCCUCAGCCUUUCAAAACGACAUUCAAUCAUUGCUUCCAUUCUACCAAUACUAUCCUUCACAUCUUUAUUACCACAUUCAAUUUCAAUCAGUUUCUUCAAUGUCUUCUCUACAGCUUAUGUUAUUGUAAAACUGCACAUUGCCCUGUCACUACAAGCCUUCAGUUUUGUACUACUAGUAACGUCACAAAAUGCAGAUUGCAAUUUCAACAACAAUUCACACGAAAGGAUUUUACAUUACCUGUUCCCCCUCAAAUAUGUGAUUCCUCCUCAAUAUUCGCACGCUUUCAUUAAUCUCGUACCUUCCCCAAAAUCUUAGCCUCGGCCCUCUCGGCUGGAACUUGCGAAACUCGUCCUCACCCUCGAUAUAGAAUCGUUCCAGAUAGUAAAUCUGCAGGGACAAAAACGCCUACCAUCAUUUACGGGUCUUUUCUAUCAAAGUUUAAUUUCAUUAUUCCAGCAAUUCCUAUCUCUAAUACAAAAUGGUGCGUCUUUCUUAUACCAUCAAGAAAAGUGCACAUCCCGCUAUUCCGUUGCCGUCUCUAUCACGGAUGCUCUUCACCAAAUUGUCAAGUAUGAAUUUCGACCAGUUCAAAUUUUCAUAUUCUCCGCUGUAGCCACUACAGCCACCAGAUCCCGGCUCACUGUGUCAUCCAAACUUGGUGCUAACAACCUACCAACAACAAACAGUACGAACUUCACUUUGAAUUCUAAGCCUUCGUUAUGCAAACUACAUAUACUAUGCCUCAAUUCCUCCACUACAAUUUCACCGCUAUUUAUUCUGAUAUUCAAUUCUCUUUCCAACUCUGUAUCCAUCUCUUGCCUUCGCUUUUCGCUUUCAAUAUCUUUCCCACGGCUGCUCAAGCCAAGUACACAUUCCACAUCCUCGCUGUCACCUGUAGACAGUGCCCAUGAACGUUCAGUGUCCUCCGAUCUACAUCAAAGUUAUCCACCAGCCACUUCAACAUCUCUUCGUCAACCUCUACUCCCUUCACAUUCAAAAUUGACCCGAAUCCAAACUCUCUGACAGCCUGCCGCUGCUCAUCCGAGAUCCAAUCCACCAUAUUCUUCACAGAAUGAGUUGAGUGGCUUACCAUUGUUUCCGCCGUCCGACGAAUGGCCUUCCUUUCACUGCUGCAACUUUUAUAAUUCGAAGGUGUUCCUCUCUCAUGCAUCAGCGAUACUACCAUUGUUUCCGCGUCCGACGAAUGGCCUUCGUUUCACUGCUGCAACUUCUAUAAUUGAAGGUGUUCCACUCUCAUGCAUCAGCGAUACUACAUUUUCGCUUUCUCCUUCACUGUCCCACUGCAUAUCCGAAGCAUCUAUUUCGGCUGCCAGCUCCAUAACAAAUCCCUAUCUCUGCUAUUCCGCUUGCUCCGGUUUUGGCGCUUCUUCCUUUCUAAUACGCCUACACUGUUUAGCUUAUCCAGUAAGCUUCGCGCCUUUUUUCCCUGCCGUACUUUCGCGUACAAACCCUCACUUUUUCGAUUGCUUAAUUUCGCCCCCUCCACAUUUCACAUGCGCGGUUGGAGUCCCCUUCAACGCCCAAUACAUCUUCCGGUUGCACAUCACAAAAUCCCUUUCCACGUGCCCGGCCAACACACUUCCCCUAUCGUUUGUGGCCCGAAAUGCUUGAAUGUCUUUUCGCUUAACUUUCCACACCUCUGUUUUGACAUCUAAACAUACCGCAGCAACAUCCCAUGUUGAAUGCUUAGAGCUUUUCUUUUCUUUCCUCGUAUGUCGUUUGUAGUGAGACAGAGGGUCACUUCGUGUGACUUUGCUAUUUUCUCCUGAUUGGAACGGAUUGAAUUCUCAAAUAUCAAUGACAAUGGCCGCAGCUUUAUCUUCAAUUUCGUGUGGGUUUUUCGCACCAAACAUGAACUAAUCUCUCCACUCUAGUCAAAGGACAACGGAGGCUCUGGUUCGCCUAAAAAUUGUGAGAUCGAUUUAAUUUAAUCUUUUUUAUUUAUUUAUUGGUAUUCGCAUAUCCCUUGAUUGCUAUGCUUAUGGUUAUUUAAUUAAUUGAUUGUCUUGGAUCCGGAUAAUUAAUUGAUUUGGUAACCUAUUGUCAAUUAGGGCAUUAAAUCCAUAAUUGUUUAAUUGCCCUGAAAUAAUGACAACUGGCACGACUAGAUUCGUGUCAGGGGGAUACGCGAGCUAAUUUGAAAUAACCCUGGUAGUGCGUUAUUUGGUUAGAAUAGGGCUCCUCUAAUACGUAAUGCAAUUGAAAAAUUAAAUCUUAUGGGUCUACCUAGGAUUAUUUCUUAAUUAGAGCAGUGAUUAACGGGCGUACCUUGAUCACCGACACAGUAAGGAGGGGUUGACUGUCAUCGCUUGUUUGGCAGUUAUAACCUAUUUAUCAGUAAAUAAUUGGAAUUGGUUUUGCAUCAAUGAUCAAUUAGGUGAACCAUUGCUGAAGUUAUUCCUUGGCUAGAUCCUUAGUUAUCACUCAUUAGAUUUUAGUAAAUUGUUAUUUAAUUUCUAGUUGGCUAUUUUAUUUUUAUUAUUUUACUUUUAGUUGAAUUGUUUAAAUUAUCACCCCUGAUAUAAAAACACCCCCAUUGUCACUGUGAAUUUGGAAAGGAACAAGUACUCCCAAUCCCUGUGGAUUCGACCCUACUUACCACUAUCUACAGAAAUUACUUUUAGUUUGAGCAGGUUUUAUUAUUACGCAGGCUUUGACAACCUGUCAGAAAUUUCAAGUGAAAUGAUUUUAAAACCUUUUGAAGCAUUUACAUUUGUCUACUUCUUGGAAGUUAUGGUACUCUGUAGUUUGCAAACUAAGACGCAUAUAAAAUGGACUUGCUUACGUUCGUUAUCUUCUAACUCAAAAUUUUCAGAUUCUGUGGAUAUUUCUAUACAUUUGUUAGGGACAAUCCAAUGAGAUUUCUGGUACCCGUAAUCAGCAUGAUCGCUAAAAACCAUGAAUGAAUGAGUUUUGGAGGAUCAAAUGCAACGGGUACGUGUUCGAAUUAUCUUUGUCCCUCAAUAGUUUUUUUUUUUUUUAUUAUUGGUAUAGGGAAAAGUUGGGUGGGUUCGAUACCAAUUACCAGUUAAAGUAUGCUUGUGGCAUCAUAAAACACUUGCAAGAAUUCUUACAAAUUGUUCACCAAUACACUUUUUACAUCUGUAAUAGAAUUCGUGGGUUACAAUGUGAUUCAACUUUUUGUCUCAGCCAAGCAGUUGCUUGACACAGCCAUCCUUGGUAAAUUUGGUUUAAAAAGUUGACAUUAAAAAAAAAAAAUUGGUAUCCAAUUUUCUUUUAAAUUGUCUGAAUUUUGACAUUGUCCUUUUUUUUGCCACAACAUAACAUUUUUAUAAUUUAAUUCAUCCUAUCUAUCUAUAAGGAGAGGAAGGCUGUUUGAAUUUUGACAUUAUUCACUUUUCAUUUUUUUUUCUGUGUAUUUAUUACGUAAUGCUGAUUGUAUCCGACAAUCUACAAUACAAGUCAAGAUAACGACUUCUGAAUAAAGUUGAAUCUUUCGUUAGAAAAGAGCGACCCAAAGCAAAAUAUCUUCUUUUCUUUUCUUUUCUUUUUUUUUUUUUUUUUUUAGGAAUGCAAAGCAUCUUUCGAGAAACGAAAGCCACAAAAGUGUAAAGUCUAUCUUUAUGCAUCCUAAUGAAUCUUCAUCAUGUGUCUAGAAAAGGGCUUCAAACGCAAAUACAUAAACAAAACAAAACAAAACGCUAUGGACGGUUGGUCCGCCACGGAAGGACAGUCUAUCAAUUACCUUGGUAGACCCAAAUUUAAAAAAUCUGGCAGAAUCUAGAUCAUUGGGCAUUUAAAAAUCGAUUUACUCGUGUGAGCCAUCGCAGAGUACAAGUGUGAGCCAUUACGGAGUUGUGAGGUCAACCUUGAAAAAAUUCAUAAAGCAAACAAGGAAAGUUUUGAAAAUUAUAAGCUGGUCAUGCAUUUACACUCCCUCAAAUUUCUUGGAUUUCCUUUCUCCUUUAUAUAGUCCCUCUAACUUUCAAAGUAAUUGCAUUUAUUGCCUUCUUGAACGUGAAUUCAUUCAAAAUGAUAUUAUAUGUUAUUUAAAUCAAAUAAAGAAUCUUCAAACUUAGUAAGAAAAUUUUUGCCUUAGAUGAUAAUGUAAUGUAUAUUAAAGUAAUUGCCCCUAACCUUUGGAUCUUGAUUUCACCGUUGCCUCUGUGAAGAAUAUACUAUAUGUACACAUAUAUUGUAUAACAAAAUAUAUGUAUUUAUUAUAGAAGUACACAUAAUAUUUGUGCCGUGAGCGUUGCGAGAAAUGUGAUAGAAACAUCACCAAGUGCAAUUGCAAUAUGAGACUCUUAGAGGCACCUGGUGAAGAUCGAUCUACCUUUUGUCAAAUUUUGUUCACAAAAUGUACAAUUACCAUAAUUGUUCAAGGGUCAAAUUUGGCCAAGAAAACAAAAACUUAAUUAAGAAAUCGCACAGUUUGUUUGUAAAGAACUAUUUAAAAAUCUGUAUGCUGUCCAAUAGUGGAACCACUGCCCCAAAACUCCCGGGUGACAAUGUGAAAUCUGAAGGCACUACGCACCCAGAGCCAGAAGACGCAUAAAGAAGCCAAAUGAAGCAACAAGAUGAUACUAGUCAAUAGAAUUGCUCAAGUACAAAAGUGAAUGAGAAAACACAGGGCGAGCACUUGAACCUUAUUUUGUUCUUUUUCUUUUUCUGUUUUUUGGACAGACUGCACAUGAAAUUGGGUAAGAAUGAUAAUUAUCUUUGAAUUGACGUGUCCUAAUGUCGCUCUAUGUUACCUAAAAUCUGAACCAGAACUAAAUUUUCUGGACUUUCUGUUGAUUUAUUUAGCCCGCACGGCAUUCGGCGUCGCACUCCUCCUUGAAACAACGUUGAAUUUGGGUGUAGUGUGGGAGGAUGAUAUGAAUUUUUGCUGCGUAGCAAUUUUGGAAGUAUAUUUAUACUUUUACAUUUUCUAAGAAGGAAUAUCUUGGAAACAUUAGAAAAUAAAAGACUGUCUAUACCAGAUAAGCAUCAGCACUAAAUUGCCAAAACUUUGCAGUUUUUGUACUAAAAUCUAGAAUCCCUUUAGAAGGCAAUUGGGAAAAAAAAAAAAGAAACAUAAAUAUAACCAAUAAUAUUUUGGAAAAAACUGCUUUCAAGUUCAAGAUGAUUUUAAAUUUAAAAAGCAGAAAGACAAUGACAUUCUUAGUGGAAUGCUUACUAGUUUUCCUAUUUUUUUGGGCAAAUUAUAUUUUACCCCCCUGUGGUUUACCCUUUUUUUACAUAACCCCUAUGAUUUCAAAAACUAUACAUAAUCGCCUCAUAGUUUGGAUUAAAGUGUCAAAGUAACGGAAAUAGUCACUCGUAAUAGAACUUCUAAAAAUGUCGAAAUUACUCUUAUAAAUACAUGACACAUUUACCCCGUAUGAUUUUUAUAUUUUACCAUAUAACUCCCUUAUAGUUUAAUAAUUUACCAUAUAACCCCCUUAUGAUUUUCAAAAUAUACACAUAACCCCCCCCCCGAUUAAUACAUAAAUUUCAACUUUACAUAAGGGUAUUUUUGACAUUUUAGGUGACGCCGUUAUGAAUGAUCAUUCCCGUCACUUUGAUACUUUAUUCCAAACCAUAAGGGGAUUAUGUAUAACUUUUGAAACCAUAGGGGGUUAUGUAAAAAAAAUGCUAAAUCACAGGGGGGUAAAGUGAAAUUUGCCCUAUUUUUUUUAGUAGCUUUUGGAGUUAAAAUGGACUAAGCUAUUCAGAUGGUCCUUAUUAUCCCCCUUCUGAGAAAGGAAAAGGAAAACUAUUAGCAAGAGACGAGUCAUUAAGCAGUUAUCAUUUUGGCAUCCAAUUUGUCAUUUUCCACAUUAAUCCUCACAGAAAGCAAAUUUGAAAUUUUACCAUAUACCAUACACCUAAUCUACCAUAUAUAUACAUAUACUAACAAUUAUUGUCCUCCAUUCCAUUUAUAUAUUUUCUCUAUUUAAUCUUGCCUAUUUUCUUUCUCUAUUUAAUCUUACCUAUUUUCUUUUGUAUUUAUUUACUUUCCCUAAUUAAUCUUACAUUCCUAAAAAUAUGUUAUCUGAAAUAUAUCUUAACAAAUACCCUAUAAGUAUCCAUUAGAUAGACCUCAAAAACAGAAAAGAAAGAAAAACUAUAAUCGUUUAAGGGCAAAAUGUUGUAAUGGCUCUCAAACUAUUACAAAAUUUAACUUUUGACCAUCCAACUAUUAAUUAAUAAGUUUUAGUCCUCCAACUAAUUAAAACAUGUAAUCAUAAACCUUCCAUCAACUUAAAUCGUUAUAUUUAAUAGAAAUAGCACGAUAUGCACAAUAGUAGCGCUCAAACUAUUAUAAAGUUCAACUUUUGACCCUCCAAUUAUUAAAUUAUAAUUUUUCCCCUCUAACUAAUUAAAGUGUAUAAUCUUAAGGGAAAAUCGCCAAUUUAGUCCUUAAAGUAUUUUACUAAAGCUGAUUUGGUCCCUCAACAUUUUAUCGCACGAAUUAAGUCCCUUAACUAAAAUUCUUGUGCCAAUUAAGGACCUAUAUGGUGUUGCCAUCCAAAACACAUGUAUCUGUACAGAAACAAAUGGCGAGGCAUGGGCUUUUUUGGAAGUACACAAUAGAAUUUCUACGGGAAGCAAAGACAUAACCCAUUUCGCAUCCAAAUUGGGGGAAACCUGUGAAAUUAGGGGUUUCCAAGACUGAACCCAUUUUGCAUCCAAAUAGCGGAAGAAAUUAGGGGUUUUCCACCGAUGCAAAUUGCCAGCAAUGGAGGGAGAUUUUUGCACAUGAAACUUGAGAAAGGACUUAAGGGUUGAACAGACUAAAAAAUACAUAACAAUAAACUCAACCAUAAGGUCAUCAGCCCAAGUUUCUACAGGACUUGCAUUUCUAUGAGUAUAUCUGCCAAACAAACAUCCAACAUAAGAUUGACAUACAUGAUUGCAUAAAAGCUUAUUAAUACCUUCAACCAGCUAGAAACCAACUCAUUUUACAGGCUAAUAAGCUUUUCAAAUGAUACUUGGACUCACAAAGAUUAGAAAAAAGAUCAAGAAUCCAUGAACUCAUAGUAUUAUCACUUUUCUUCCAAGAAAUUAAUAGUACAACAUAAACUAGUAAACAAAAGGGAUAAAUUUGUACCUUACUUUAUUCGUGUAUCCAGUGUACAUCUGUACAAAGGUUUUCACCAUCAUGAGUUCCUCUAGUUUUGCCUUUUGCCCGUAAUAGAAUAUGCAGACUCCAACUAUAAACAAUGCAUGCGCUCAAGGGUGCUCGCAUUGCAGCAAAGUAAGUGACGAAAAAAGCAUCGUGGACGCAUAAAUUGGAUGGCGGACAAACCGCUAUGGCCCAAACAGCACAACAGCAGUCGGCACAACUACCUUCUCUGAAUACUUUGCCAAAUGCAACGUGGAGUGGUACUGCAUAAACAAUGUCAACAUUUAUCAAAAUCCAAAUGCCCAAAUUACUCCAGCCACCAGGAACAAGAUGUAAUUCUGGCCCCUCAAAUGCUGCAAACCAAUGGCCAACCAUCACUCCAACACAGAACAAGAGUUUUUGCCACUUGGGCAGGGUAAUAUCCCACACGGGAUCAUGCUCUCUGGGAUAAUAAUCACCAUACAACCGCUUUCGGACACUCACAUUGAAGAAAAAGAAGUAGUGGUAAACAAAGAAAAACACAAUAGGCCAUCCUUCGAGAAAACCAUUGAAAUGUGCUGGGGGUACUAAAGUGAGCCAAGUAAAUGCUGCAGUAACAAUUGAAAGCUGCUGAAAAGCAUUGGCAUUGCCGUGUAAAUGCCGGUAAAAGCAGUAAAGACCGUAAAUUGCAAGACUAAUAGCUACCAUCCAAGGCCAAAACAACCAAGUCCAGCUAAAAUAUAUCCAGAAGAAAGGGCUGAAUAGCACAUUGAUCGUCCACUUUCAGGCUGCAACUGCAAUGGAGGAAGCCAAAGACCAUUUGCAUACCUCGAAUGGGGUUAAAUUUAAAAGGGUCGAUUUUAGUGACUCGAAAGAAACGUUUCUGAGGGCUAUUAUGACUGGGUUCGGAGAGUCUGGGCUUGUUUUUACAUCAAAAUAGGGAAAAUCGCCAAUUUUUUGGAAAACCCCUAAUUUCACAGGUUUCCCCCAAUUUAGAUGCGAAAUGGGUUCUGUCUUUGCUUCCCGUAGAAAUUUUAUUGUGUACUUCCAAAAAAGACCCCUGCCUCGCCGUUUGUUUCUAUACAUAUACAUGUGUUUUGGGUGGCGACACCGUAUAGGUCCUCAACUGGCACAAGAAUUUUAGUUAAGGGACUUAAUUCGUGCGAUAAAAUGUUGAGGGACCAAAUCGACUUUAGUAAAAUAGUUUGAGGACUAAAUUGGCGAUUUUCCCUAAUCCUAAUCCUUUCAUCAACUUAAGUCAUUAUGUUGAACAAAAACACCACUACACAUGUGACGGGUGCAUAAUCGAGGGGCGUUUUCAUCUUCAUAGGAAAUGUGCUAGGCUAAAAUUGUUUUAUCCCCGUUUGACUCAUAAACUAAUUUACCAAAUCUCCAAUUGUUGAACUUGAGCAAAAUCAAUGAAAACCAAAACCCUAAAUAGAGAAAUUUCAGCAAGGAUAGGCAAUUUGAAGAAAUUGAGUUGCUUUCAUUCGGAAUUCAACUCAUUUUUCAAUGUUGUUCCAAAUUUACUAGGUUCAUGUGCUUCUCUUAAUGACAUAAAUUCGGCAUACAAUUCAUUUUUUUGGAAUAUUCCAACAACUUUUGGUCCCUUUUCAAGCUUGAACUCUCUAAAUCUUUCAAAUAAUCAAUUCUCAACUUCAUAUCACUACAUCAAACCAUUUUGAUUUGUCAAACAAUAGGUUAGUUGGGUACAUUCCAAAUUCUUUAUCAAUAAAUGUUUCUAUUCGACAUAAUGACUUAAGUUGAUGAAAGAGUUAAGGUUAUACAUUUUAAUUAGUUCAGGGGUUAAAACUUAUCAAUUAAUAAUUGGAGGAUCAAAAGUUAAAUUUUGUAAUAGUUUAAAGGCCAUCAAGGCAUUUUGCCUAUCUCCUGAACUCUGUUAGAUAUAAUGACUCAAGUUGAUGAAAAGGUUAAAAUUAUAUGUUUUAAUUAGUUUGAGGGAUAAUAAUUAGAGGGCAAAAAGUUAAAUUUUAUAAUAGUUUGAGGGCUAGCGGGACAUUUUGCCCAUAGUUUAAUGAUUUAGUAGUUUCCAUUUUGGCAACUAUUUCGUCAAUUUCAAACAUUAAUACUCAUAAAAAGCAAAUUUGAAAUUCUAUGGACUUAGAGCCUUCCAGAAUUUUGCCUACCAUACCAAUUAAUGUACUGCUGCUACAACAAUACAGCCAAAAGUAGAAGCAUCUCAAUUGAUUGAAGUACUCCGCUGAUUGCACUUCCAUCUCCAGCAGAGGAACUAGUCAACCAAUCUUCCGCUUAUGGGCUCUUCAGGAGAUAGUAGUUACAAGACCCUUCCACAAAAUGAGAAAAAACCAGUUUUAACACACACACAGUCUCAGGUGAGAAAGGAAGCUAGUGAUGAGCUAGAAAGGAUAUUGAGUAACACAGAGGUACCAUUUAUCAAGCGGGUGGUACCAGCAACAUGGAUAGAGAUCAAGCUUCUUGUUCACUUGGCUGCUCCCGCAGUCGUUGUUUACAUGAUAAACUACCUCAUGUCUAUGCUCACACAAAUCUUUUCUGGCCAUCUUGGAAAUCUUGAAUAUGCAGCUGCUUCCUUGGUAACAAUGGAGUUCAAACUUUUGCCUAUGGUCUCAUGGUACUCUUGAUCUUUCCUCACUUUAUUUAUUUAUUUGUUAAACAUUAAAAAGAUUUAUUCCAUGGUACAAUCCAAUUUCUUCUUCUUCUUCUUCUUCGUGGGACAUGAACUCCUACCGGUUACAUAAAGGAAGGAAAAAUGCCAAAGGGUACUCCCAAAUUGCAUUUUACUUGUUUAUGUACUUGUUUGCAUUUAGUGUCUAUGGUGGUGGGAAAUUUUCAAGGACCUUUUUCUUUAAAAUAAUGCAUCCAUAAAGAAAUCUUUUAUCGGUGUAUACCUGCUUUUUGGUCCAAGAAACCAAAAAUCCAAAAAUAGUAUUCCAGCUUUCCCUUGAUGAAUUUGUUGGUUCUUUGGCCUUUCUGGUGCACCAACUUUUUGCUUUUUCCUUUUACCCCUGGAAUUUGAAUGGUCUUUAUUUGGUAAUUUGUCUGAUAUUUUUGUCAUUUCUCUCAUGUUUCCUUCUUGAAGUCCAAUUGUAGUUAUAGAAAUUGUACAAUCCAUAACAUUUCUUUGUUUUUAAAACCUUACAUAGUUCAUUUUGAGACAGAGAAAGUAGAAAUUUUCCAGAUUAUAAUUCAAGUUUUGAUGAUCUGAUCCUCAUUUUUUUUUUGGGAAACAGCUGGGAAUGGGAAGUGCUGUUGAAACACUAUGUGGACAAGCAUAUGGAGCACGUAGGUACGGCAUGCUAGGCAUAUAUCUUCAAAGAUCAGCCAUCCUCCUAACUCUAACUGGAGUGUUACUUACAAUCAUAUACAUAUUUUCUAAGCCUAUUCUCUUAUUACUUGGUGAAGCACUAGACAUUGCAUCAGAAGCAGCAAUAUUCAUCUAUGGCUUAAUCCCUCAAAUAUUUGCCUAUACUGCCAACUUCCCUAUACAAAAAUUUCUCCAAGCACAGAGUAUUGUAGCCCCAAGUGCCUAUAUCUCUUUUGGAACACUAGCUUUUCAUGUCUUAUUCAGUUGGUGUACCCUGGUAUGCCGAUUUAGUGAAUUUCUUAGUGACUAAUCAAUUGCCUGCAGGGUGGCCAAAGGCUAAGAGAGACAAGUUGAAGAGUGAUGCUAAAUAUUACAUUUGGGACGACCCGUACCUUUGGAGACAAUGUUCGGAUCAAGUGCUCAAGAGGUGUGUAAGUGCAGGCGAAUUUCACUCUAUUUUAAAUUUCUGUCAUUCGUUUGCAUGUGGAGAGCAUUUUGGGCCCAAGCGAACAGCUCGCAAAGUGUUAGAGAGUGGCUUUUACUGGCCUACCCUGUUCAAAGAUGCUUAUUUAUUCUGUAAAUCCUGUGAUAGGUGUCAAAGGGUGGGAAAUAUUUUUCGUAGGGACCAAAUGCUUCAAACCCCCAUGUUGUUUGUUGAAAUUUUUGAUGUUUGGGGGAUAGAUUUUAUGGGUCCUUUUCCCUCAUCUUUUGGUUUCCUAUACAUUUUACUUGCUGUAGAUUAUGUCUCUAAAUGGGUGGAAGCCAAAACCACCCGUACUAAUGAUUCUAGAGUGGUUGCAGAGUUCUUAAAAUCUAAUAUCUUUGUCCGUUUUGGAAUGCCAAGAGCUGUAGUUAGUGAUAGAGGGACACAUUUCUGUAACAAGACUAUCACUGCCUUGUUUCGAAGAUACGGUGUACUCCAUAAGGUAUCCACACCGUAUCACCCGCAGGCAAACGGUCAGGCCGAAGUGUCAAACAGGGAAAUCAAGUCGGUCUUGGAGAAGAUGAUGCGUCCGGAUAGGAAGGAUUGGAGUUUAAAACUAGAAGACGCACUAUGGGCGUAUAGAACCGCGUAUAAGACGCCAAUUGAGAUGUCUCCGUAUAAACUUGUCUUCGGUAAGACUUGCCAUCUUCCCGUAGAAUUCGAACACAAGGUGUUUUGGGCAGUGAAGCAGUGUAACAUGGGAUUAGAUGAAGCAGGGGUCCAAAGGAAAUUGCAACUACAAGAGUUAGAGGAGAUAAGAAAUGAAGCGUAUGAGAAUGCCACGAUCUAUAAGGAAAAGAGUAAAACCUUUCAUGAUCAACGAGUUUCCAGAAAAUCUUUUGUAGUGGGGACAAAAGUCCUCUUGUAUCACUCGAGACUUAAACUUUUUCCCGAUAAGUUGCGUUCUCGUUGGAUUGGUCCAUUUGUCGUUUCUAAUGUGUUUCAUUAUGGUGCAGUGGAGAUCCAAAGUUUAAAAACGGAGAAAAAGUUCGUGGUGAAUGGCCAUCGUUUUAAACCUUAUUACGAGGGGUUCUCUAUUGAAGAAGUAGAAGUUGAACACCUCCAACAUCCACUUUAUAAUGCUUGAGCGUUUUGGCCAUGUCUAGCCAAAGACAGUAAAGAAAGACGCUACUUGGGAAGCAACCCAAGACUAUUUGUUUCAGUUUUCAUGCAUUUUUGAAGUUUUAGUUAAGUGUUAGUGUCAAUUAAUAGUUUGAUGUUUGGUUGCAGGAAAUUAGUAGUUAAGCGUGCUCACGCCAGGUGGUCACGCCUGAGGGGAAGGAAUUUUCGUUCAGGUUCUACGGACUCCAUAGCAGUUAGACGUGCCACGCCAAGUGGUCACGCCUGAUGGAAGGAAUUUUCGUUCAGGUUCUGCGGACUUCAUAGCAGUUAGACGUGCCCACGCCAGUUGGUCACGCCUGAUGGAAGGAAUUUUCAUUCAGGUUCUGCGGACUUCAUGGCAGUUGAGCGUGCCCACGCUAGGUGCUCACGCUAAAAAAAAAAAAAAAAAAAAAG